rnacentral:lncRNA from 1 species
UAAAUUCAAUUAAUUAUUUUUUAAAUAAUUCAAUAUAUAUUUAUAUAAAUUUUAUUUUUCUCCUGUCGUAAUUUCUCCCAUAAAACCCCUGAUUUCACCAUUCCUCUAUAAACGCAUAAUUGCUCCCACCUCUCCCACCGCACCGCACCGCACCACCGGACCACCGCACUGCCAAACACUUUCGGAAUGACUUUGGAAGCUUCUUCUCCCUUUGGUCCACCACCGAACCGUUUCGGAAUGAGUUUGGAAGCUUCCUCUACCUUUGGUCCACCACCGAACCGAUUCCUCUACAAACCGUGUUUCCUUUGUGCAAAGUGUGUUUCGAUUGCUUUCCGCAAGGAUCGAUUUGUUCAUUUCAUAUACUCUUGCUUAAUUUUGUCGUUGAUUUUGUUUAAUUUUGUCGUUGAUUUUGUUUCCGUGGUGAUUUUUGUUUUCUUCUUAAUUUUCUCAAUCUAUACUCAAAUUUGGACUCUCUCUUUAUUGAACGUGAUAGAACGGUGGAGUGGAGAGGUGUUGGUUAAUUGAAAAGAUGGAUGGUGAUGAAGGAAAAGGAUUAGGAGUGAGAGAGGUUGGUGAUCUUUGUACAAUGCUUCUCUCUUCUCAACUUCCUUUACAAUAUUUCUUUCUUCUAAUAUAAUAUUUUCCAAAUUUCCCAUUUAUUUGAGCCUGAGACAGAUUUAUUUUGGAUCUUAUCAAUAACCUUCCUAGGUUCUCACUAAAAUUUGUCUUUUAUUUUCUAAAAGUUUACAAAAAAUAGGUGUUUUCUAUAAUACAGAUCAUCUAGGUGAAGCUUUGAAAUAUGCCUACCUUGAGCUUUCAAAUUAAAACAAUGUUUUAUAUUUUCUUGUGUAUGAAAAUAGGCUUUUCACAAUGUCCUCUCCUAAUGUGAUGUGAGAAUCUCUUUGAAAUUUAUAAUUCUGCUCUCAGCAUUUGCACAAUAACUAUUGUAGUAAAGUCCAGCAUACCAGAAUGGAUGCUUGUGAUUUUUUUUAUUUGGUUCCAUAGAAAGUGGAGAAAAUAAUCAGAGGAGAAAGAGAGAGGAACAAAGAAGAAAGAUACAAGCUCCGGUGCCAUGCAACUCCCUUAGGCUAACCUUUUUCUGUUUCUAUGUUAGUUUUAUUGAUUAUAAGUUUUCUUGGUUUUUUAAGAUAGCUUUGGCUGGUAGUCUGUUGCUAGUUGGGCACAACAUAAAGUAGCUAUUAUUGUGCAUAGUUUUUAGAUGUAUCACUUGGAAGUGCUGUUUGCUUUGAGUUUUUAUUUGACAUUUUUUUCUCUUGUUAUGAAAUUCUGGUUACCUUUUCCUUGCUGCCACAGUGCCAGUGACCUCUCUGUGCAACCUUCAUUUCGUGGUGGUUAUCUGGCCUUUACAUUGCUUGUAAUUGAAUUACCGUAAUUCUAUUAUAUAACUCUUGCUAAUGAUGGAGUUCCAUAAGAAUAAGAAUUUCCAUAGUUUAUGAAUAGUAACUGAAAUAUUGAGCCGUAUCUAAACCUUUAUCUUCUGAUAUGGUUAAACAGUAGUUGUGAUGUCUUAAACUUACCUUACCAGCAUGCUUGCAAAAACAGAACCUAAUGAUAUAUUGAAUUCAUAAAAUUUGUUGGUUUAAUUAUGGGUAAAUCUGAAUCAUGCUUAGCAUUGUAAAAUAUAUUCUCUUGUUGAUUUUUUUUUCUUUGUGUUUCUUAAAUUAUUUGUCUGCUACGUACUAUACUUCAUAUUAGCAUCUGAUAUUGCACUUAUUAAUUCUCUUUAACAUUUCUUAUGCUCUGAAAAAUAAUAACUUGGAUACUCGAAUAGCAAGGACUCUAGCUGAUAUUAUAUUUACUAGAACUGGUCCUUCUGUCUAUUUUUAGUAAUUAUUAUUUGCUAAAAGCAUGGAGUAAAAGAUCUCACGUUUGGGUCUCGUUAGCUCACCUAUCAAUUGCAACAAAAAUGAAAUGACUUAAUGCUGAUAUUUUAUACAAGCAAUUUGUCAAGAGUACUUAUUCCAUUUUAGACAUAUAUUAUAACUGAAGUUAUACUUGUAUUUAUUUCUCAUCUUCUUUCUUUACUCUAAUUGAACAUAGAAACAUGCUGGAAAUAGUUUAUAUUGGUGAAAACGAAGCUUUGAUACCAAUUGUAAGAAAUUGUAAGAAUUAAUGGCUUUAACAAGAGGGAGGUGAAUUGUUUAACGGAAGUUUUUACAGAUUAAAGAAUCAGAUUAGCCAAAAACAAGUUAGUUAAAGCAGUUAUUAGAAAAACAACUGGUUGAAAAUGCGUUUUAACCGAUUGUUUAUGGUAGAAGAAUUGAAAACACAAGUCAAUCAGAUUUUAAAUGAGUGAGAGAGAGAAGAUUACACAAACAAUUAUACUGGUUCACUCCUUAUCAGAGUUAUAGUUCCCAAAAAAAUCACUGGGUAUUUCACUAAGUAAUUAACAACAAAUUACAAUCACACAACAAUCUCAAGAACACACAUCCUUUUUGACUUUACACAGAGUGAGAACAAUCCUCUAAUCUUACAGAUUUACUGUUUUACAAGUAUACAAAAAUGAAAAACAAUUAUAAGAAUAGAAGGAACAAAUUACACAUAGAGCUCCUAAUACACUUCUUGAACCAAUGGCACAACCUAAGGCAAUCUAGCAAAACUUGAAUCAAAUCUUCCUCAAAACUGUUUCUUAAUCUCUCUUUCUGUGUUUUUCAAAUAUGGAGGGUAACCCAGAUUUAUAGUUCUUCAUACUAGCUGUUUUAGGCAGUUAAACACGAGUCUAAACAGUUUCAAACCAACUUAAAGUAGAUUUAACAAGAUUUUGAAAAAUUGUUGAAAUUCAAAAAUCAAUUGGUUGAAAUGUCGUUUUAACCGGUUGAAAUGGUUUUGACAGUUAGUCAACCAAGUCAAAAACAAUUUGAAAACCCUCUAAACAAGCUGGGUGUAAAAUAACCGACUAAACCGAGAAAUCAACCAGUUGUUUUUCACUUAGCUUAGAAAAACGCUUUUCAUUUUUAAAACUAGAUUGAUUCAGCUGUGCUUUGGAUUAAGAAUGAAUUUUACAAAUUCUAAACUACCUAGAACUAAACCCUAAACCCUAAACACAACAACAUAAACAUCAAACUCUCUUCUCAGAUUUGGAGACAUUAAAACUUCAUUUUCAACAUUCUCCCCCUUAUUUGAUGAAGACAAAUCCCUGGGUUGCUUUGGGAUGUUCUGUUUAGAAUUUAACACAACAUGCAAUCACAAACAGAAGCAGAAACACAUGAUAAUUUAUUCCAGAUAUAUCAAGCACCACAAAACCAGUUUCCACUAGGUGAUUUCCAAAAGAAACAUCAACCAAAUCAGUGUGAAAACCAGUUGAAAUAAGUGCAGGAAUAAGAACAUUACAACCCCAAAGCACUUCUCCCCCUAUUUGUCUUCACAAAUAGAGUGAAAGAAGGAUAAAAAUAACAUAAAGAAAAAAGAAAUUGUUCAGAAUAUUAAAUCAAAAUUUGAAAGGAAAGCUAUAAACUUGCUUCAUUCAUCCUUGCCAUACUGCAGAUCAAAGAGUUGGUUCUGCACUUCCUCAAUUUGCUCAUUCAAGGUCUGAAAUCUUGAAUCCAUAUUCUGGAACCUUGUCUCACACAGCUCAUGAAUGCUCCUUUAAUUUUCAGCAAAGCUAUCCAUCCUACUCACCAUGAGUCUUUUAAGGGAGACAUUGAGGUUAUCCUCUCAUUCAUGUGAGCAGAGCUUGGUUUAGUUCAUAUGCUUCAACAACAGGUUCUUCUUUGGUGGUUGCAUCUUCAUUUUCUUCCUCAGCAUGAGUUCCACUUGAGCCGGCUUGGUCUCCAUGUUUACUCACCAUCUUCCACCAGUUUUGGUAAACCCCAUAUUGCUUAGGGAACCAUUAUUGAUUUCACUUGAGGACUUCACAACCUCAGAUAGUUCUUCCUCUAAAUCCACUUCAAAAUAGUGCAAAAAUUUAGAAAUCAAAAUGACAUAGGGAUAAUGGAAAUCACUUAACCUUGUUACUUUUUGCAUGUGGUCCUUAAAGAUGUGGAUCCAAUUCAACUUUACUUUGUUCAUGAUGCAGUAAAUCAGAACCAAAUCUUCUUUUGAAAGAGUGGAAUGGUUGUUGUCCCUUGGUGUGAGCAUCCAGGAGAUGAUGAAGGCAAUGAGCCUCUUAUCCAACUUUAAUCCUCCAACAAAAAAAUUCCUCACUUUUUGAGAGUGGAAUUUUUAAGGCAGCUCUUGUAGAAUUACAUCUUGUUAAAUUCUUCCACCACUCCUAUAUUGCCUUUUAUUAAUUCUCAGUCCAGUGUACUUCAACCCAUGACAGUUCAAACCUCAUGGGUAAUCUCCAAUGUCCACCCCUUUCACAUGAGAGCAAAGAUUAUCACCAUUAAAUUGAAGGUUUGUAUAGAAAACUCUUACCAAAUCCAGAUAUAUAUUUCCAGACAUUUCAAGAAACCUCUUCAGCUUUUGCUCCUUCAAAAGGUUCCUCACCUCAGUGAGGUUUUGCUGCUUCAUCCAGCUAAAGGAAAUCAAUUUUGGAGUAUUGAUUACUUUCCUACUUGUCUCAUGUAGGUAUUUCUCAAUCAAUUCUAUUUCUCCCGCAAACCAACUUUCAAGUUUACCUCUGCUUCUCACAACCAUUGUUUUCAUCCCUUUGAAUGAUGGAGGAGUUGAUUCCAUGAUUCCGUGAGAGAAAAAGUGUGUAGGCAAACUACAAAAACAGAUUAGAGCAGAAGAGAAAAUAGUGGUGGUUUCUUGUGAAGAAGAACAACUAAUAACCACACUUAUUUAUGACCAAAAAAGGCAGUCAAAGCUUUGACAUUUAGUGGGUUAAAAUUCAAAUGAAAAAGAAUCAAAUUAGAGGCAAUAAAGCAACCUGUCAUACCCUAACAGAAAGCACAAAGAGAGAAAUCACAUGCUGAUUUGACCAAGUUUAAAAAGGUUUUAAUUUCCAAUAUAAAGAGGAAUAUAUUCUAUAAAGAGCAGUAAUUGUACAAAGAAUACAUGUUCAAAGUAGUAAUAAAUGCACUAUUGACCACUAACGACACUGAGAAUGAUCAAAGAUUCAAAUCAAAGACAAGAAAAUAAAAAUAGAAAAUACCACAGUGCUGUCAGGGCUGAAACAAUUGGUUGUUUCGUAAAAACAAUCGAUUGAAUUUCUGCAACACUAAAAUAAAAAUAGAAAAUUAAAUUUAUUAUCAGAAACCAAAAAUACAAAGAUUCAGAUUAAAGCACAUAAUGUUUGUAUGAGAAUAGAAUAGAAGAAAUACUGAUGUAAACCCACAAAGAUCUCAAAACCAAGUCCACAAGAAGAUGACCAAGGAUGUCAACUAUGAAGGGUCAUCUCAACAAUCAAAGGAAGACCUCAUCAAUAGGAGGAAUGUACAAGGUCCAGAGCACUUGAAGUUCUUCCUACUAGUCUUCUUAAAUAUUUAGAAAAAUGUUGUAAAUAAGUUGAGGUUAUUUGUAAGGGUCCAAAUAGUAGAAAUAAGCUAGAAUAAAGUGCCUUUAGCAUAGUAAGGGGUGUGGGUAGCAUUCUAGCUUGUUCCUAGCCCAUUUGAAGGCAUUUUGACCUAGUUUCUAGAAGGAUAAGCCUAGAAUACGGGAUUGACUUAGUCAAACCCUAUGACUGUCCACUUUUUCCCCUUUUCCUAUUCUACCAUCUUUUCUUCUUUUCCAAGGCUCCUAAAUCUAUAAAUAGGGAGGCCUACCUCAUGUAUUGAUAUGUUGAAUGAACAGUAAAGUUACUAUACACAAAUUGUGUUAAGAGUUUGUGAGCAUUGUCUCUCUAAACCAUUGGUCUUAUCUUGUGAGUGUUGUGAGCUCUCAAGUGGCGGCAUUUACACUUAUCUUGGAUUCAAUUCACCAUCCAAGUGGCGUGCUCAUUCACAAUUCCACCACUCCUAAGUUUCCUUUCAUUCAUCUUUUUCCAUUUCCAUUCCUAUUUUCAAUAACAAAUCAUUGGAUUCUUGUUUUUGCUUCCUUUAAUUCAAUUUAGUCCAUGUAUUGCUCACCUUGUGUUUGCUUAAAUUUCGUACCUAUAUUUGUCAUUCAUUCUCACCAUUAAUUGUGUUUUUCCUUUGGCCUUAUGGAAAUGAACCUUCACAUCUACUUAACACUUGUUAAGUUAAUGUCCAGUGGGAAUUUUCCUUAGGCUUCUCACCUAUAUUUUUCCUAUAAUCUAAAUCUAAGUAAAGUGUCACCAAUCAAAUGAACAAUCCUAAAAUCAACUCACAUCAAAUAUAGAACAAAAUAAUUCAGACACCAAGAGUGAAAACAUUAAAUUUGAUUUAAAACAUAAUGUUCAAGCAUAGGAAAAAUAAGAAAUUAUCCUUCAAGAUCAUUGUACAAAUUUGAAACAGUUCAUAAUUCCAGAACCAAGGCUCUAUCUCGAGUAUUUGCAUCCUUGAAAGCCAGAUUCUACAUAUCCUUCAAGCAAAGUCUUGCAAAAAGAACAUAUCAAGUAACAAGAUUUGAUCCCUUAAAGAAUUUGGGUCCUUUCAUGUUAGAUUUAUCAUAAGAACCAUUAAUAUUUCUUGGAAUCCAUUUCAAGAUACCUCUAGGAACAAGAAUUUUACGAAUUUUGCAGAACCUGACAGAAUGACAUCUCUUCAUACAAUAAAAGCAUGUAACAAUCAAUUGUUUUGAUUUUUAAUCGGUUGAUUUUCUGACACAGUUUAAAAGGUUUUGAAAUCCCAUUCUUUUUACUCCGUGGAUAAAUCCUAAAUCAGAUUUUCCAAAAACAUAAUUUUGAGAUGCAAGAACACUCUCAAAGUUGGAUUUUCCUUUUGAAAGCCUACGUACAAUUUUCACAAGGUAAUGGAUAUUCUUUUCAAGAGAUUCACUUUUUUCACAAACAGUCACACAUGCAAGAAGAGUUCUUGUAAAUCAAAUCCAGAUUUUAAAAAUCAAUUUUAAACUUUUCCAACUCUUCUUCUAGUGUUUUAACUCUAUUUUCAAGUCAAUUAUUCAACCCUUUCAACCGGUUGUUCAAGAGAGCCAAUCUAUUUGUUGAACCAAGUGGUGUUCAAUGUUUUGAAGAAUCUAAAUCCUUUUAAGGAUGUUGAAGCCUCUGCUUUGCUUGAUGUUGCUGUGCUGGUUUAAGCUUUGUUCUGGGAUAGUUUAUAUGUUGUAAUCCACCCUUUAAUUAAAUCUCAAGCAAUUAGCAUGUCAAUCUUUAUGAAAGUAAAAUGUUUUUCAAACUAAGUUGAAACAACCGAUUGUUUUGUCAAAACAACCGAUUGUUUAUACUUAGGUGUUUUGAGAAAGAUUGAAAACUGUUUUUGAAAGGUUGAAGCUGUUAAGUACCAAAACAACUGAUUGAUUCGAGGAAACAACCGAUUGUUUGUUUUGGAAUCAUAACAGAAAAACUGUUUUGUGUUUGACUGAGCUUUAAAUGCUUUAACUGUAUACGCUCCAGUCAUUAAAUGCUUUGACCAAUCUUUUAAUGCAAUUUAAGAGUUUGUUAAGAUUUGAUAACAAACUACAUCUUUGAAUAUAUUAAGAAAAACAGAUUUGAGAAUUAAGAAUCUUUUGACAAAGUUUUUCUAAAGAGUUUUUCAAAGAGCUGAGAUUGCUAAGAGUUUGUGAUUGAUCAAGGUGCUGGAAUAGGAUUCUACUUGUAUUGAUUUCAGAUAUUCAUAUGUAACAAGUGUAAUCUUUGUACUCUGUUAAACAAUUUUGUUUCUGUGUUUGCUGAGAUUGGCUGUGUGUUUUUGAGGUGUUUAAGACCAGCAAUCUUAGUGUUGGCCAAGGAGAGUGUGUUUCUUGAGGUGUUCAAGGUCAUUCUCUUGGUUGUUGUGUAAGUGAUCAAGGUGUGGUUGCUUAGUGGAUAUCCUCAGGGUUUAUGAGAAGACUGGAUGUAGCUCUGGUUUGGAGUGAACCAGUAUAAACAAUUGUGUACAAUCUCUCUAUCUCUAACUCUUUAAAUUCAGUUUAUUUGUUGUUUGCUGGUAUAAACAACCGAUUGUUUCUACGAAACAACCGAUUGUUUUUCUGGUACUACAACUUUUGCUUGCUGUUUUGGCUAGCUGAAUUGCUGAAUCAAUUGGUUUCUAAGAUAACUUCAUUCUAGUUUUUGAAAAGUUUGCGAAAACCCUUUUAAACUAUUCACCCCCCCUCUAGUUUAAAGCCAUCUUUUCUAACACUAUUAGCUUAUUCAUGUGUUUCUUUAAAUGCUACAAGGAGUUGAUAGUAGUUAUCACCUUUGGAUGAAGAAGUUGAACUUACACCUCUUCAUUUGGACAUUCAAACUUGAUAUGACCCUGCUCACCACAUCCAAAACAAGUAUAUUUAUUAGAAUUGGCAUCAAGAGCUAGGUUCUUAAAAGUUUCUCAAGUUCUGUUUUUCAAAUAUGUUUUUAUGGUUGACAAGACCUUUGAGAAAAAGGAACUAAAUAUAAAGAUUCUCAAAUGUUUGGACAGAACAUGGUAGCCAAAGGUUACUGCCAUAUCAGAAUCAAAAGAUCUAACCUCAAUGUCUACAACCUCUUUUUUUGGUAAGCUAAGGGAACAUGAAUUGGAAAUGAACAUAUUGUUUGUUCAAGAAAAUAAGGACAAACAUGUCAAAGGCAUAAAUUUAAAGACAGCUGGACAUAGAAGGUGCCAAGAAUCAAGUGAUAGUGAUGAAGAUACACUCAACUUGCUGUCUAAGAAAUUUAGCAAAUUCUUGAGGAAGAACAUAGUCCUUUAAAAGGUAUAAUUCCAAGAAAAUGAAUGAUUUCAAUGCUAACAAAUACACAUGCUUUGGCUGUGUUGAGAAGGGACACAUCAAGGCAGAUUGUCCUAACAAUGAGAACAAAGAGAAAAUAGAAUUCAAAGGAGAAAGAAGAGGCAAGACCAAGAAAUCCUAUAUAGCUUGGGAUGACAAUGAAGUGUCUUCUUCCAGUUCCUCAGAAGAUGCAAAAGCUAAUUUGUGUUUGAAGGCAUCAACAUCAAAUAGUGUAAAUUAUGGGUAAAUAUGAAUCAUGCUUAGCAUUGUAAAAUAUAUUCUCUUGUUGAUUUUUUUUUCUUUUUGUUUCUUAAAUUAUUUGUCUGCUACGUACUAUACUUCAUAUUAGCAUCUGAUAUUGAACUUGUUAAUUCUCUUUAACAUUUCUUAUGCUCUAAAAAAUAAUAACUUGGAUACUCGAAUAGCAAGGACUCUAGCUGAUAUUAUAUUUACUAGAACUGGUCCUUCUGUCUAUUAAUAAUAAUUAUUUGCUAAAAGCAUGGAAUAAAAGAUCUCAUGUUUGGGUCUCAUUAGCUCACCUAUCAAUUGCAACAAGAAUGAAAUGACUUAAUGCUUAUAUUUUAUACUACUCACAUAGGAACUCUAAAAACUCUUAUGAAUCAAGGUAAGUCUCUAUUUAUACUAUAACAUAAUCCAUGGUAUGUGAGAAUAAUAUAUUGUAAGAUCCUUAUGAUAUGCAUUAUUGUUCAUUAUUUUAUCACUGAGUAUCGAAUGGUCUUCUUGGCAUAUCGACCAUUCAACCCAAACAACAUUGAACACCAAAUAAUGACUUGGCUUUCGAGCAUAAUGAAAGGAAACUCACAUAAAUACUAAUCACAAUACAAGUAACUAAUCACUCCAUAAAAAACACUAAAAGAGUAUUAGGCUUUAAUGGGGCUGAGAUAAUCUUAGGCCUAUAGGAAAACUAUAAAUAGGUGAGGACCCAAAAGGUAAAAGGUAAUGAUUCUCUAACUAUAGUACUUGUAAUCUAGACCUAUUCACUGUUGACUUGAGUGUUGGAUUGUCUUUGUAGGUACCCACCAUCAAAGAGACCGAAAGACCAAGAGGAUGAAGAGACUCAAUAAGGAAAUCUUGAUAGAGGAAACCCAACAUUGUAAGAACAUUUUUUGCACCCACCACGGGGCCGAAAGAAAAAUCUAUCGAGAAACCACAUGGUAGCUACUAGGAGCAUGAUGGGAAGCGAAAGAGAAGUGAUAGAGGAGGAAGAUCACUGGAUAAACUUGAUCGUAACAAUUUUGAAGAUGAAAAUAGAGUUGGAAAGACUGAAGAGGAAGUAUGUCGAGGAGAUGGAUGCAUUAAGGGGUGAAAAUGCUGUAAUGAAACGAAAGUUAGAAAUUGGAGGAAUGCCCACAGUUCACAAGGAGCACCGAAAUCCGGAAGGCUCUAAUGCUCAAACUAUUACAAGAAUGGAAGGAGAAAAUAUUUCAUACCCCCACAACACGAAACCACACACAUCUGCCAAUACCUUUGGAAUGUCGUCAUGAAGACACGGAAGCAAUUAUGCAGGUGUCACUCCUGAACACGUGGAAGAGCCCAACACUGGAUAAGUAUGACGAAACAACUUACCCGAAUCAGCAUGUGGAUGCUUAUGUAAUGCAAGUCAGCCUCUACACGACUAACGACACGUUAUGUAGAGUCUUCCCAACAUCUCUAAAUGGGACCACACUGAAUUGGUUCACCCGUGUACCUUCACACUCUAUAAAUUGUUUUGACACCUUGGUGUCUAAAUUCGCAAUCCAGUUCUCAACACGUCGGCCUCAUCGUUUGACAUUAAUAGCGCUUGUUAACAUUCAACAAGAAAAGACUGAAUCCCUCUGAGCGUUCAUGGAGCGAUUCAGAAAAAUGAUGUUUAGUAUCCAAAAUCUGAGUCUAGAGGUGGCAAUGCAUCAUCUGGUCACUGCUUUGAUUCUAGACCCAUUCUCUGACAGCCUGUGCAAGAAGCCAACAAGCAACAAGGACGAGUUGCAACAAAGGGCAACAAAGUUCAUGCAACUGAAGGAGCUACACGUCUUUCGACGGAAGGUACACGGAGUGGAGGGAAGUCACAACUAUAUGGACAAGAAGGGGAUGGAGAGAGCGCCUAGGUCGCCUACAAAACAUAGAGAAUACUCGUGACCCAUACACUUCGCCCAUAACAACUCAGUAGCAACAACACGAUUUAGCAUCUUGGAUGAAGCGCUAAAUUCAGACCUUAUAUCAGAACGAAAAAAAACCCAACAAGAAAGGAGAAUGAUAGGGAACGUGACCGUGGUCACUCCGGCCUCAGACCAUGGUCAAUACGAUUGCAGACUAUUUUAUGGGAGGAUGCCUAACCUACUCUUCUCGAAAAUGCCACCUGAGAAGCUUAAGACUAGCAAGGCUAUUGAAAUAUGGCACAAACAAAGUAUGCCGAUAGUGUACUUUGCAAAAGAAAACUUUUAGGGGAUUGAUCCCUAACAUGAUGACCCAAUGGUCAUCACGAUUGAAGUAGCCAACUUUGUGGUCAUGAAGACACUAGUGGAUCAAGGUAGUUUGGUAAACAUCUUAUAUAUGAAAACCUUAUGAAAAAUGGGGCUCUCCCAAGAUAUGCCCAACUAUAACACAUCAGAAUGGAAGACAACACGCGGGUUGACAUUCUCUCAAAGUUGACAAACAACAAGAAGAAAGCUCGCCAUGGUACAAUCAUCAAACAGACUUUACCAAAACUAAUUAUUUCGUUGGAAAAAUGCAUGAACAUUGUGGCUGGUAGCCGAAUUGGCUGGAUUGGUGUAAUGAAGAAAGUCACCAAGUACCGAGGCAAUGACGUAGAAAUCAGCGACCCGGUGCUGAGAAGGAAACCAUCUCGAUUUACCAUAAUCAAGGACGACUUAUAUAAAAGGGGUUUCGCUACUCCACUUCUGAAACGUCUAGUUGAAUAAAAGGUCGAGUAUUUGAUGAAUGAGUUGCAUAACGACAUAUGUGAAAAUCAUUAUGACGGAAGAACGAUGGUUAGCCAAGUAUUGAGAGUCAGGUAAUACUAGCCAACCCUGAGGGCCGACUAUACCAACUAUAGUAAAAAAUGCAAGAAAUGUUAAGAUAAUGGAUCGAUCAGCCACCUCGCAACUCAAGAACUAUGACGCAUUAGCUCCCCAUGCAAUCAGACAGAGGAAGUUCGUUCUAGUCACGGUGGAUUAAGGUCGAGUCGUUAGCUUGAAUCACCGCCAAAUAGGUACAAGAUUUUGUAUGGAGAAACAUCAUUUGUCAGUUCAACAUAACCCACACAAUAGUAAAACACCAUUUGAGCUUAGUAAAACAAUCCUCAAACAAAUGGGCAAGUGGACGUCGCCAAUAAAGUCAUCAUUAGGAUGUUAAAAAAGCCAUUGGGAGCCGUCAAGGGAAGAUAGGUAGAGGAACUUUUGGAGGUCUUAUGGGCUUACCAGUGCACACCUCACUCCAUAACUGGGGAGACUCCACACAACCUAACGUAUGGACUAAAAUACAUGCUACCAUUUGAAGUAGGCGAAUCAACAAUCCCAUGCACGGGUCCCUACCGAAAGAGGUAAAAACACCUUCUUGGUUAAGAAAGAACCCUACAUAUAGGUCCCUGUCGAAAGCAUCUACAUUUGUUAAGGAAGAAUCCCUAAUUGGAUUCCUACCAAAACAAAUCAACAAUUCAACAAAUAAGAUAUCCACAAGUAACUAAGAAUUUUUUCGGAAUCUUGAAGAACAAUAUGUGACAGCCCAGAAAGAACAAAUUAAAUUUCAAAUCAACAAAUUUAUUUUAUUUUAGAAUAUUAGUUUUGCGGAAUUGAGUGCAGGGAUUGAGAAGAAAAAGGCACACACCAUUUAUACUGGUUCACUCAUCAAGAGUUACAUCUAGUCCAACCUCAUACCAAGGUGGAUUCCACUAAAUCAAACCAAAACUGUUACAAAACUUUGUGGUUUUUGAAUCCUUCAAGAACAACACACAAUGUUGGAAAAACACUAUUUCAACAUCUCUUACACUUCAAGAAACUCUAUCAACAAGUGCCUAUACAAUCACUUUUACACAAGAAAGAAUAAGGAAGGAAAACACUUGAAAAGAGGAUGCAAGAAACUGAAAACAACAACACUUUGCUGCAGCACAACAGUGGCCACUUCAAACCUUGACCAAGGCAAAAAAUGAACAAGCACACUUGAAUUUCUUUAAGAUAACCUUUUAAAAAAUCAUUCAAAGAUUUUAUCUUUCACUGAAAACUCUUUGAUUUGUGUUUAAAAACGUGAUAGCUAUGUGAGAUGUGCCUCUUUUUAUAAAAAAUAGUUUAUAAUAGUUUUUCAAAAAACAGUUAAAAGUUGUUAUAAAAAGAACAUAUUGGAGUUAAAAUAAAUAGAUUGUUUCUUGAAAAAACAAAAGAUAAUUUCCAAACCACUUCCAACUUAGCUUAACGAUAAUAAAAAGGACCGAAACAAACUCUUUGGUGCCAAAACUAAAUUUUGAAAAUGCUUUAAUAAAAUAGCACCAGUGCAGAAAUUUGAUUUUGAAAAAACUUAAGGUAGAUUUUGAGAAACCUUUUAAAGAACUUCUUGUGCUUGAGCUCACUACCUUGGUUAGGGAUAUGAGGUAAUAUCACAAUGCAAAAGGCUAUCUUAGACAACCUCUAACCUAUAUUGACCACUAAUUAUAAUAUUAUAACCUUCAAAGCUAUUUUCUACAUCAAACACACACUAUGACAUGUUGUGAAACAACUUCUUCAAUACUCAACAAUCUCCUUCUGUUUGAUGGAGACAAAUCCCCAUAGCUACAUUGCUUUGAAGGAAGUCCAUGGUCAAAGAAAAACACAUGCACUUUGAUUCCAGAAUAUACCAACUAUUUUGAAAGAAAUCGAACAGGUUUAAAAAAUUGUUGUACCUCCCUACAGCUUAAUACCUGCAUGUAUCUGCAUGAACUUGAGCUUUAUUUGAGCUUUUCUUCUCCCCCUUUGUAUUCAUCAAAUAGGAUUGGAGUAUAGAAUAAGAGAGAAACAAACAACCAUACAUAAUAAUCCAAAAUAGGUCCUUAAAGUGCUAUUACAGUCCAGAAAUUAAACACAACCAUUGAAGGAAAUUUAAAAACAUAUUGUUCAACAAGACAUAAUUUGAAGGAUUUGGAGAAGGGAUCACAUGUGCUUGUAGUAAAGUUCUGCUAGCUGUUCCUGGACUCCUUUAAUUUGAUAAUCAAGGUGUUGAAACCUAGCUUGAGUCAUCUCAAAAUAGGUAUUCUGAUCAUCCGUGAGUGUAUCUAGUCGAUCAAGAACUUGUCUUUCAAACAUUGGUAAUGGUUCACCUCUAUACUCAAGGUGCUUGAUAUGAAACCAGAGCAUUUAGUCAUCUCAAAAUAGGUCUUCUGAUCAUCCGUGAGUGUAUCUAGUCGAUGAAGAACUUGUCUUUCAAACAUUGGUAAUGGUUCACCUCUAUACUCAGGUGCUUGAUAUGCAACCAAAGCAUUUUUAUAUGUGGCAACAACAUCUUCUUGCACAGAUGGUUGGGCUGGUGAUUCCACCCUGUGGGAUGAUGAGUUAUGCAUCUCAUAGCAAGAUUCUUCAACAACUUGAAGAAUUUCAUCUUCCAUGUGAUGAGCAGCCUCAUCCUCAUCUGCAUGAUCACAAUUGGAUGCUCCAUAUUCCAUUCUUGGAGCAACAUUUCUCCUGAAUACCUAUGUAUUGUUCACCUUAUGAAAACCCAUCUUAAUGAGAGUUGAGUUAUCUAUUUAACUUGCUACCUUGAUAGUCUCAUUCCUCUCAUUUGUAAUUUCAACCUCAAAAUAAUCAAUUAGUUUUGAGAGCAUAUGGAAAUCGAUAAUCAGUGAGCCUAUUUAAUUUUAGCAUAUGUUCCAUCAAAAUACUCACCCAAUUUAUCUUAAUUAUGUUCAUUAUACAGUAGAGCCAGAUUAAGUCUUCUUCAUGAAGAACAACAUGAUUACUACCUCAAGGAGUAAGUUGCCAUGCAAUGAUGUAUAACAAAAUACGUGGAGUUAAAUUCAGAUUACGUGCAUGAAAUCUAUUCACAGGUUGAGCUGGAUUCCUUACACAACUUUGGUAAAACUAAAUCUUGUUGAAUUCCUAGAUUCCAGCCGUGUGUCCUUUGCUCACUUUCAGUCUUGAGUAUUUGAUCCCAACAACAUUUUUCCAGACUUCAGUUGUGACUGUUAUCUUUACUCCCUUCACAUGAAAGACAAGUUUUCUACCAUCUUGAGUGAGAUUAGUAUAAAACACUUUUACUAGAUCUGGAUAGACAUUUCCAGUCAUCUCCAGGAAGUGUUUCACUCUUUGGUGCUUGAGAACAACUUUUGGUUCAACCAGAUUCUCACUCUUCAGCCAAGAAAAUUCUAACACUUUAGGCACAUUGAUUUGUUUUAUGCUCAUAUCAUGCAAGAAGAUGGUCAUGGCUUCAACAUCUAUAUCAAACCAGCUUUCCAAAAUCUCUUGAUUGUUGCUGUGUUGCUCUCGGGAUCUCCUUUUCUUGUGUGAAGAGGAUGUCGUUUAUGAUCCUGCACUUAACUGCACUUGAACGCUUGGAGAAGGUAGUGGUAAAGUGUAAGGAAAAACAGGUUUAGCACAAGCUUAUAUAGAGAGAAAAAGUUUAGAAUAAAAUCAUGUAACAACUGUGUGUACAAAUUUGAUUUCUUGAUAAAUAGCAGUAUCCAGUUUUGGGUAUAGCAAGAAUAUUUUGAGAAUUAAAUUUUCAGUUUUUUUUAUUCAUGACCCAAUGAAUGCAUCAAGUUAGUUAGGAUUUUCUAGAAAAAGUAGUCAAAAUACUGCUGGUCAAUAACCACCAUAAAGAACAAUCAAUUGCCAAAAGGAAAAAAAAUCUAUUUCUCUUUCCUAGUCAUAAUUGUGAUCUUGAACCAGAAAAACAACAUGUUAAAACAAGAAACAACAGAUUAAAAUAUUACUGUUAUGAGCAACUAAUGCUUAUUAUACCUAAUUAAUUUAGUAGAAAAUUGAAACUAUCUUUAGCAAUAGGUUUGGUGAAAAGAUCAACUAAUUGUAAUUCAGUUCCAAUGAAUUUUAUUUCACAAUUCCCAUUAAUAAUAUGUUCACGUAGAAAAUGAUGCAUUAUCUCAAUGUGCUUAGUUUUAGAGUGCAUAACAAGAUUUUUAGUCAAAUUAAUGAUAUUGGUGUUGUCACAUAGGAUAGGUAUUCUACUUAACAUGAUUCCAAAAUCACUUAGUUGUUGUUUUAACCAUAAGGUUUGAACACAACAAUUUCUAGCAGCAAUAUAUUCUGCCUCAGUUGUAGAAAGGGCAACAUUUGCUUGUUUCUUGCAAUGCCAAGAGAUUAAGCUUGAUCCAAGCAUAUGCAAGUUCCACUUGUGCUUUUCCUAUCAAUUUUGCAACCUGCAAAGUCAGAAUUUGAAAAACCAGUUAAGUUUAGAGAUACAUGACAUGGAUACCAUAGGCCAAUGUCUUUGGUUCCUUGUAAGUAUUUCAGAAUCCUUUUAGCAGCAUUGAUGUAUGAUUCCUUUGGAGCAAAUUGGAACCUGACACACAUACAUACAACAAACAUGAUAUCAGGUCUACUAGCUGUUAAGUACAAUAAAGAACCUAUUAAUCCUCUAUAUCUAGUUUGAUCAACAGGUUUUCCAGCAGGGUCUUGGUCAAUGUGACAACUUGUAGAAAUUGGUGUGUUGAUUGCCUUGCACUAGUCCAUCUCAAACUUUCUCAGUAGGUCCUUGCAAUAUUUGGCUUGAUUUAUAAAAAUACCAUCCUUUAGCUGUUUAACUUGUAGGCCAAGAAAGUAAUUCAGUUCCCCCAUCAUGGACAUCUCGAAUUCUCUUUUCAUAACCUCUACAAAUGCUUCACAUAACUCUUCAUUUGUGGAACCGAAAAUGAUAUCAUCCACAUAGAGCUGCACAAGAAUGAUGUCUUCAUUCUUUUUCUUUAUGAACAAUGUCUUGUCAUAUGUGCCACGAUUGUAUUCUUGAGAUAACAAAAAAUCACUUAAUCUUUCAUACCACUGUUUAGAAGCUUGUUUAAGUCCAUAGAGAGCCUUUUUGAACUUGAAUACAUGGUUGGGAAACUUAUGAUCCUCAAAGCCUGGGCACUGUGAAGUUGAAGCUUGUUUUGUCAUAUGGUCUCAUCAUAGUCAAUUCCCUCUUCCUGGUUAUAGCCCUUGACAAAUAGCUUUGCUUUGUUCCUUGUGAUUGUUCCAUGCUUAUCCAUCUUGUUUGUGUACACCCACUUGGUUCCUAUAAUAUUCAUUUCAGAUGUUCUUGGAACUAGAGACCACACUUCACUCCUUGUAAACUAAUUUAACUCUUCUUGCAUGGCCAAGAUCCACUUGUUGUCUUGUAGAGGUUCAUUCAGACAAAUGCCAUUGUUUCAUAGAGAUUAUUCAAAGAAUUCUUUGUUGAGACCCUUUUUUUAAAUAUUGCCAAUUACAUUCUCAAGUGUUAGGUCUUUAGGAGUCUGCCACUCUUUUAGUAAAUUUGCAUUCACAACAGGUUCAAAAGUCUCAUUUGAGAUUGUGCACUUGUUGGUUUCAAAAUUAACCUUGUAGCCCUUAUCACAUAAUUGGCUAAUACUUAGAAGACUAUUGCUUUAGUCCUUCCACAUAUAAGACAUUCUCUAUUAUGGUUGAAUCCUCAGUUCCAACAUUCCCCCUUCCAAGAAUCCUUCCACGGUUAUUGUCUCCAUACGUGACAUGUCCUUCUGCUUUAAGUUUUAAACUUGUAAACUGAGUCAGAUCACCAGUUAUAUGCUUUGAAUACCCAUUGUCCAAGCACCAUUGGUUUUUCCUAUUGUUUUAGAAUCAGAGCUUGAUCAUUCAUUAAUCACCAUGAAGCAUAGAUUUGCUGUUUCACUUUCAGUUCAGGAAUCACUUGAUGAGGAUACUUCAUUUUCCUCCCAGGAGAUGUAUGCUUUUUUCCCUUUGCUUCUUUCACCCUUUUUGCUGUUUGGUUUUUCUUUAUUUUGAUUGUUGGACAAUCAACUUUUAUGUGACCUGGUUUACCACAUCCAAAGCAAGUGCAAUGAGAAUAAUUUGAUUCAUUGGGUUUAGAGUACCUCUUCCUUUGUUGAGUUUUGUCUCGACUUUUCCAUUUUAGGAAUUUGGUGAAUUUUCUUGUGAGCAGACUCAAGGUCUCAUCAUGUAAAAGAUUCUCUUCUUCCUCACUUGUAUCAUGUUGUAUACUGGUUUUUAAAGCAAUUCCAUUGGUUCUUCUCUCCACUGUUUCUUGUUCUUUUAAUCUAUUGAGUUCUAGCUCAUCCUCCAUCAAUUUCCCGAACAAUGCAGCAGUUUCAGCCCAUUUAUGUUGAGCUAUUCCUUGUCAAAAACCUUACCAUGUCCAGUGAGGUGAUUUACAAUAUGUGUAAAUUGUUUACGCACAUCUGCAAUGCUUUCUUAUGGUUGCAUCAGGAAAAAGUUCAUAUUCUUGAAUGAGUGAGUGCUUCCUUGCUCUUUUCACAUCAUUCGUGCCCUCAUAUGUUACUUAUAGUAUUUCCCACAUUUAUUUAGCUGAAUUGCAUUGAGAUGGCUCUGAAGAACUCAUCCAUAUUUAGAGCAGAGGUUAUGAUAUUCUUGGUUAGAGAGUCAUAUGGAGCCUUCUUCCUGUCACUUUCACUACAUUCAAACCAAGGCUCUUUUAAUGUUUCCUCUUUAAUAACCUACAUAGGCACAAAAGGUCCAUUCGCCACUGCAUCCCAAAUUUCAUUGUCAAUAGAUUCUAUAAAAACUUUCAUCCUGAUUGUCCUGAAUGCAUAAUUCAAUCCACCAAACAUAGGAGGUUUAUUGAUAGACGCACCAUUAGCAAAAGACAUUUAAAACUCAGACAUAAUGCACAAAACUUCAAGAAAAUACAAGUCCUAACUCUUGAUACCAAUUGUUGGGUCUAUUAGUGUCUAAGUUCAAGAGAGGGGUGAAUUGAGCUUAUAAAAAAUUUCACAAACAGAGCUAUUUUUCAGUAAUCCUGAGAAAAAGAACAUAUUGAUUUUAGAAAGAACAAAUUUAUUUUCUGAUUACUCUAUCAAAUCCAGAACCUUGACUAGAUUAGUUUGAGAUUAAAUGAGUAAUUUUCCAGAACAGUGUAAUCACCUUGACAGCAACAAAGUUUUAGAAAGAUUUUACACCAAUAAAUCCAAAUUUAAAUCUUUAAGAACAAUCUUGAAGAGAAAGUGAAUCUUGAAUAAAGUUAUUUUUAAGAUUUUAUUACUUUCUUUAAUCAGCCAACACACAUAUUUAGAUAUCCACAAGAAACCAAUAACUUUUUCAGAAUCUUGAAGAACAGUAUAUGACAACACAGAAAUAAUAAAUUCAAUUUCAAAUCAACAGAUUUAUUUUAUUUCAGAUUAUCAGUUUUGCAGAAUUGAGUGUUGGGAUUGAGAAGAAAAAUGCACAUACAUUUUAUACUGGUUCACUUAUCAAGUGCUACAUCCAGUCCGUGGUUUCCACUAAAUCAAACCAAAAUUGUUAAAAAACUUUGUGGUUCUUGAACCCUUCAAGAACAAGACACACAAUGCUGAAAAACACUAUUUGAGCAGCUCUUACACUUAAAAAAACCCUAUCAAGAAGUGCCUAUACAAUCACCUUUACACAAGAAAGAAUAAGGAAGGAAAACACCUGAAAAGAAGAUGCAAGAAAUUGAAAACAACAACACUUUUCUGUAGCACGUGACAACACUUCAAACCUUGACCAAGGCACACAAUGAACAAUCACACUUGAAUUUCUUUAAGAGAACCUUUCAAAAAAUCAUUCAAAGAUUUUAUCUCUCACUGAAAACUCUUUUAUUUGUGUUUUAAAACAUGAUAGCUCUGUUACUUUUCAUGUGAGAUGUGUCCUUUUUUUUUCAUAGAAAACAGUUUAUAACAGUUUUUCAAAAAAACAGUUAAAAGUUAUUAUAAAAAAAACAUGUUGAUGUUAAAAUAAAUAGAUUGUUUCUUGAAAAAACAAAAGAUAAUUUCCAAACCACUUCCAACUCAGCUUAACGGUAAUAAAAAAGGCUUAAACAAACUUUUUGUGUGGCAAAACUAAAUUUUGAAAAAGAUUUAAUAAAAGAACACCAGUGCAGAAAAUUGAUUUUGAGAAAACUUAAGGUAGAUUUUGAGAAACCUUUUAAAGAACCUCUUGUGCUUGAGCUCACUACCUUGGUUAGGGAUAUGAGGUAAGAUCACAAUGCAAAAAGCUACUUUAACUAACCUCUAACCUAUAUUGACUACUAAUUAUAAUAUUAUAAACCUUGAAAGCUAUUUUCUACAACAAACAUGUGAAGAAACUUCUUCAAUCUUUAUAAGUGUCUCAACAAUUAAAACCAUUAAAAACAAGAUAACUAUCUCGACAAACUAAAACUGACAAAACAAGAUAAUUAUCUUGAAAAACUAAAAUCGAUGAGAAAAAAAUAAAUGUUCUUAAUAAUUAGACCAAUAAGAUGAAAUAAACGUUUAAACAAUAAUGUUUUAAGCGGUUAAAAGAAACACUAAAAUAAAAUCAAGUUGUUAUCAUGUUCAGGCCGCCAUAUAUGAAACGACAAUCAACUACAAAAUCGGGGAACUUUAGACUCAGAAACCAAGUACACAAAAUCAUGGAACUCUACACCUAGAAAUCAAACUUGUACCGCCCUGGUAGUCGGAAGUGAUGACGUGGUAUCAAGCUACAGUAUCGGCGUGUUGACAAGACGCCAGAUUGGCAGAAGGGAAAGAAGUCGGGGGGCUCGUGAAGUCGCCAGUUAUUAAGUUGGCGUUCUCCGAUCUCCAGCAUACCAGAACCGGCGAUCACCAGGUUAAAGAUGAAGUCGCCAAAUGUAAACUCAGGCGACCAAGUGAUUGGAGAUCGCCACAGCAAGCACAUCGCCGAAGAUGAAGGUGGUGCAGAUUAUGAAGGCGGCCGGCGAGACCACAGGGAAGGUGUACAAAGGCACCCUAACUCGCCAAUUCCAAUAGAGAUCGCACUCCCAAGUUAGCUGUGCACUGGGCAGUACCAUGCAUAAGUAACUUAGCCAAAAGAGAGUCAGAAGCAGCGCCCAAGUCAAGGAGGCUCCAGAUGAUGGCACGUGUACGACUGGAUGCGAGCCACAUGUCCAGCUGCGUAACUGCCAGGAGAGAGAAAGUGACCAGGUAUUUAAGGGUUUCCCAACGAACUUUUGAGGUACGCACGUUCAGAUUACACUCUUUACGCUUGCGAGUUCUAGAGCAUACUGUGAGAGAGAACAUUGCACGGUUCCUUGAGAGUUCUUGAGUGUUAUUGCUCUUAGUAUUUGGUGGUUCGGUCACUGACUUAGGCGUUGGAGUGCGAUCGGCCGCAGCGGCGCCGCUCUGUUCUUUUGCAGGUUCUUGAGGUGGAUCUUGGCGGAGGACGGAGGUUGAAGCGGUGCGCACGUCGAUCCAAGUUUGACGAGGCAGGUUCCAACGUUCUGGUCAACAGGCAGGAUCAAAACUUAAAAAAGAAAAAGACAAAGCUUCAAGGAUCUACCUUCUCGGCCUUCUCGGCCCCGCCUUCCUCAGUAGGAGCCACUAUUUCAACAAGCUUAUCCUCUUCAUCCGAAAUGUAUUCAAUAGGCAUCAACUCUCCCCUAUAAAAGAUAAAAGUCUUUGCUGACAUCAAACUUUCCUUUGUCGAUGGGAAUGUUGUAGAAGUAGAAAGCUUGAUCUAAGGCCUUUUGAAAAUUGAGUUCGUGUUGUUGAAAAGCACAAUCUCGAGCCUUCCUCAAAUCGGCAUCGAGUUGUCGCAUACCUGUUUGGAGUUUCUCCUUCUUGUCAUUCUCAACGUAAAAAGUCAUCGUCAUGUCGGUCAAGCUUUGCUUCAAACCAUCAUUUGAAACUUGUAAUUCCUUUUCCUUGCCAUGGGCAGCUUCCAAGCGGGCGCAAAGAUUCUCCAUCAAGCUUUAACCGAGGAAAAUCGGCCUCCAGGUCUUUAUUUUGGUCAACCAAGAUAGUAUUAGCUUCGAAGGCAGCUUGAAGGGAGGAUGCCGACUUCACCAACUGAGCCUUCAAAGCACCAUUGUCGGCGCUUCCUAUCUUCAUCAAGUCGGAGCCCAUGUCUUUGCUGAUAACCAUCGCCCGAGCACUCAACUCCUUGAACACGUCACGAAGCUCAAAAUGGGUCGCCGACAAGCUCGGAAUAACAACUUUUUCCCCAAGUACAUGUUCCCCCAAAGAAAUUCGUUCUUUGAAGCACUCGGUCCCGCUACUGCCUCUCAAAGAGGCCUUGAAUCCACCUCUACUUCUAGGUGAAGUCGCUUAGCAAAACUUCCCGAAAGACGACUUGUCGAACUGCCGAUGAGUCACCAAAUCCUUGUCCUCAUCCUUCUCUACAAGGUUUUUUGCACUCGGGUUGACAAGUGGAAGGUCAUUGAACGGAGAAGUUGUCGGGUGGAAGGUCAUCUUUGAAGAAGUUCUUGCCUUCGAAGGGAUCCCUAGAGGACAUGAUAGUUGCAUGAAAAAAAAUAGUCAAAUGAAUGUCAAAGUGCAAGAAUAAACAAAUUGAUAAAAAACAUACCCUCGAGAUCGAGAAGCCAAGUUGAAGACAAAUAAGUAUGCAAGAGAAGUUGAGUAGGGAUUUUUUGGGGAAGCUUGUUCGAAAUUGACAAAGUUUCCAAGUCUUCCCGGGUCAGCGACAACCUCAGUAAUACACGAAACUGUUUCGGAUCACGCGUGCAACUGUGUCAGAACUACAUUUAAAGUUCGCAACACUCCCAUGAAAAAGUCAUCCAAGGGAAAUCAGACAUGCAUGUUCGUUAUUAAAUAAGAAUAAAAGAAAAAAUACUUGUUAAUAGAAGGAUUCGACCCUAGACACACUAUAUUGGAAGACAAGCAUUUACGCGCGAAUACAAUUCCAUCUGAUGCGCUCUCACUAAGAAUAUAUACAUUAUCGGUAAAAGAUUUUAACACAAACAACAACUGAUACUUUGAGAAGUGUUCACAGACCCGAGAUUUCACACACUUAUACACGAAAUAAUGGACGCGUGCCUCGUCCAACUUUGCACCUUCGAUAUCUGAUACAAACCACAACAACCAACAGAUAACUAAGGACACAUCAAACAUUUCACAAAAAGUCAGUCAUCUCAGUAUACAAAAUCGGGUCCCACCAAACCUCGAGAAAGUAUCAGCAGAAGCAGAACAAGCUAUAAAUUAUAAUAUCAUAAGUUCUUCAAGAGAAAAGUUAUGUAAAUAAAUUGGACUCACUUUGGGGGUACAAAAUAGAAAAAUAGGCUAGAGUAGGUUCACAUAGCAUAAAAAGGGGUGUACUUAGUGAAAUGGGCUUGUACCAAACCCAUUUUUUCAAGACAAGGCACCUAAAUUUAGAGUUUUUAACCUACCUUCUAAAAGUUAUGCCUAAAGGUGCGGUUUUGACCACGCUCAACACCCUAGGCAGCCCCUUUCCCUUGCCAUUUCGAUCCUUCACCCAUCUUGCCCACCAAGGCACUCCUUCCUAUAAAUAGGGUGUCUUGCCUCAUGUAUUUACACAUUGAAAUUUCAAGUAAAGAAACUCUGCUUGAGUGAAUUUGUGAGUUUGAGUACUCCUUUUAUAUGGGUCUUAUCUUGGGUGGGUAACAUCUCAAGUGGUGGCUCUGGGUCUUAUCUUGGGUGGGUAAUAUCUCAAGUGGCGGCUUGCACCACUCAUCUUGGAAUUCAUCUGCUCCAAGUGGCGUGAUAUCUUCCUUUCCAUAAGCUUCCUCUAUCUCUACAUCUUUUUCCUUUUAAUUCCUUUUUGCUUCCUCUUUGUGCCAUCUUACCUCUCAUCUUCUAUCUCUUACUUUUUUUAUUUUAGGUCCAUAUAUUGUCAUCUUCAUCUUUGUUCAUGUUAGCUUCCGCACCUUCAUCAUCAUAAUCACCAUAUAUAUGUGUUUUUCUCUUUGCCCUUCUAAAGUGAACCUUCACACUUACUUAACCACUUGGUUAAGUUUGUGUUUAGUGGGAAUCUUCUUAGGGUUCUCGCCUUAAAUUGCUAAAUUCAAAAAUCAUAAACAAAGAGCAACCAAUAAAAUGUGCAAUCCUAAAAUCAACUCACAUAAACAUCCCUCUCACUUGUUGAGCCGGUAAGGCGAGAAAAUAAAGUAGUAUCUCCAAGACUUUAAGAGUCUGAACUAGAUACAUCUAUAAAAGGACUGGCAUAGACAACCCCAAACAUCUUAGAAGAACUAGUGGAGGAAGAAGAGAGCAUGGUUACCUCUCGACUAACUAUAAACACUCGGAUAAAGAAGCAAAAAAAUGGGAGAAUGUGAGAAAUGGGACACAUUAACGAUCCAGAUUGUGCAACACUUCGUAUUCUGGGUCAAAACCUCACAUAAACCAAAGAGCAUUUAAGGUUCUUCAUAGCUCUCGGCUAUUCGAACUUGGGGGGCAAGUAUACCCACUAGCCACUAAGAACAGAGGACCACUAACAAGACUUAAAGAAAUGAAAAUUUCUUUCAAAUAAAAAAAAAACGUCUUCUUCUUACAUACGCUCGAAGCCUAGGGGGCAAGUGUACUGUCGAGUAUCAAAUGGUCUUCUUGGCAUACCGGCCUUUCGACCCAAACAACACUGAACACCAAAGAAUGACUUGACCUUCGAGCAAAUGAGAGGAAAUCCACAAUAAAGAUUAAUCACAAUACAAGUAACUAAUCACUCCCUAAGCAAGAUUAAUGGAGUUUUGGGCCUUCAUAGGUCUAGGAUAAUCCUCAGGCCCAUAGGAAAACUAUAAAUAGGUGAGGACCCCAAUGAUAAAAGGUAAUAAUUCUUUUACUAUAAUACAUGUAAUAUAGACAUAUUCAGCACUGACUAGAGCGUCAGAGUGUCUUUACAAGUACUAACCAUCGAGAAAUCAAGGAAUCGAGAGACUAAGAGAUCAAUAAGUCAAAGAAACUAAAGAAAGAAAUUUCUAAGAGAUCAAUAAGUCAAAGAAACUAAAGAAAGAAAUUUGAAUUGAGAAAAUUUCACCAUGAACAAUUAUUUACUUACUGAUUUUACAUUAUUUUAUCAUAAAAGAUGACACCUACUAGAAUUGGUACAUUGUUUAACAAUUAUUUACUUACUGAUUUUCCAUUAUUCUAUCAUAAAAGAUGACAUCUAUUAGAGUUGGUACAUUGUUAAGUAAACUAGAUACUAUGACAACGAUAUUCACUGGUUCCAAACUUAAUAAUACUCUGAAAUCAAUCAAUCUAAAAUGUGUAUGUCCAGGAUUUGUAUAUUUUAAUGAAUCUUAAUGAACUUACAAUUGAAGUUCUUUGGGAUGUUAUUAUUCAAUUAUAUUAGCAGGGAGAAACUUCUUUUAUAAAGGAUUAAUUCCUUAACUAGUAAAUUACAUACUUCUUGAGAGCACAUAUAAUUGUCGUUUAUGUUGUAAAAUACGUUGUGCUAGAAUCUAUAUUUAUGGAUAAUAGAGAAUAAUUUAAAGUUAAUAAAAAAAUUUAUAUUUUAAUUAAAUUAAGUUUAUAAUGUUAUAAAUAGAAACUAAACAUCUUAUUAUUCAUUUUCUUAUAAAAUUAUCUUCUCCCUAUAAUUUAUAUUUUAUUUCAUUUCUCAAUAAGAUUUUGAAAGAAUAUUCUCUAAUUUUCUUGUUUAGACUUCAACAAGUAGAAGGUGACAGAGUUUAGAUUACGUCUAAUCAGUCAGAAGUUAUCUAAUAAGUUUUCUUCUUCUUUUUCCUUUAUAUCUUAAAUUUACAAUAUUUAAAUACUCCAUAAGUGAACCUCAAAUUUCAUAAUUAUUAAAGCAUAAAUCCCUAAUACUAGUAAGAGUACAAUACUAUAAUUUCAUGCUUUUAAUAUACACCAUAUGGGGAUCGCAUAAUUUUACUACCUUUUCAUAUUUCAAUGAAGCAUAAAAUUUUAUUAUCAUUUGUUAUCAUUUAGGGAUAACCUUCUUGAUAUAAAGGGACUGCUCACCCUAGGAAAAAAAUCCUUUCCUAUUCAAAGGAGAACUCCGAAAAAUACAUAUAUCGUCACCCUUCUCUGGAAAUCAAAAGGCAUUGACACCUUUCCUUGUCUACAAAAAUUUAAAAUCAUAAAACCUAUCAUCAUUAAUAUAUAUAUAUAUAUAUAUAUAUAUAUAUAUUAUCCUAAAUUAAUUAAUAUCAAACAUUGGAUGGUAUAAUAAGUGGUAGGAAUAUUUGUCCUUUAAACCCAAAUGUUCAUUGAUUUGAUUUCAAAUUUUAAAUAUGAAAUAAACUAUAUUAUGUCUUAUAUUAAAUAUCUUUCUUCUCUUUUCUCACUUUUCACUUAUUUUCUAUGUUCUCUUUCUCUUCUUUCUGCACAUAUUUCUUAUAUCUAUAUUAAUAUAGAUUAUAAAAGCUUUCAAUAUUAAUUUCAUUAUUAUAUACUUAAAGUUUUUACAUAGUUUAGUUAUUCAAAUAAAAUAUUUAAAAAAAUAUCAAAACAAAUUAAAUUUCUUAAAAAAAAGUGUAAACUCUUUCUCCAAUGACACAGCUUUGUUAGUAGUUAUAUCACCAAUUUUUUUUGGCACAUGUAUAUAUUAAUAUAUAAAUAAAAAUAAUUUUUUAAUUUUAAUAUAUUUUAUAUAUCUACUCUCAACAAAUUUUACGUCUAUUUUUGUCACUUACCAAAAUAGUUGUAUUAUAGUUGUACUGAUACGAUAAUUUAACGAUAAUUUUAAAGAAAUUUAUAUUCUAAACAUUUAACAAAAAUAUGAUUGAACAAUCCAAAAUGAGUUAUUCCAGCGUACAAUUGUCCACUUGACUAAAAUAAUAAUAUUUUAUUUAUAUUGUGGGGUUCACAUAUAUUCUAAAAAUAUUUUAAAUUUGAAUGUUUAAUACAUUUUUAAUUAGGUUUUUACGUUUUUUUUUUCUGUUAUUUGACUUUUGUUGGAUGAUGAAUAAUCUAAAGUGUGUGUCCAUGUUAUUUGUCCUGUGGUGACCCUUGUAUGACUCAAAGUCAAUUUCUUGCACACACACUUAAGACAAUAUAUUUUCGUAUUUCAUGUUAGGGGUUACUUGGUGGGUUUGUAUUUCAGUGUUAUAGUAGUAUUUUAUUUGAUAGUAGUAUGUUAGGAUACACAAAGAAGAGGAUACAAAGAAAGGUAAAAAGAGAGUGUGAGUGUAAGUGUUGGUUGGGGUGAGGUAUGUGGUGGAGAGAAAGUGAGUUAAAUAAGAUGUUUAGAGGCCAUGAAUAUAUGCACUGCCAAGUAACCACAAAAUUCACUCAACCUAGAGAGUGACAAUAUGUGGUGACCCUAGUAGGAAUAUGUGGUAACCCACAUUACCCUUUAUGCACAGAGCCAGUGAAGAUUUUUCUAGAAAUGUCAAGUUAGUGUUUGUGCUGGUUGAGGUGGGUUAAAUUAGGUGUUUACAGGCCAUGAGUGUAUGACAGUGUCAAGUGUUAGAAAACAUGGCUUAGAGGGGGGUGAAUUGUUUAAAAGGGUUUUCGCAAACAUUUCAAACACUAUAAUGAAUUUAUCUCAGGAACCAAUUGAUUCAGUAAUUCAGUUAGCCAAAACAGCAAGCAAAAACUAUAGAACCAGAAAAACAAUCGGUUGUUUCGUAGAAACAAUCGGUUCUUUAUACCAGCAAACAAUAAAUAAACUGAAUUUAAAGAGUUAGAGAUAGAGAGAUUGUACACAGUUGUUUAUGUUGAAGAUGGUUGCUGCCCCUUCAAGAUUGUGUUUGAUGAAGACUUGUAUGUAGUGUUUGAUGAAGACAUUUAUGUACUUUCCAUGUAUUUGUGCUUUGCUUUAAGUAUGUCUUAGUUAGUGCUUAGAGGUUGUCUAAGAGUAGCUUUUUGCUGAGUAACUCACCUCAUAAUCACUGGCCAUGUGAUAAGAACAAGCAUAAGUUUUCUAAAACUGUUUUUCACAUGUUUUACACAAAAACACAUUUUNNNNNNNNNNNNNNNNNNNNNNNNNNNNNNNNNNNNNNNNNNNNNNNNNNNNNNNNNNNNNNNNNNNNNNNNNNNNNNNNNNNNNNNNNNNNNNNNNNNNNNNNNNNNNNNNNNNNNNNNNNNNNNNNNNNNNNNNNNNNNNNNNNNNNNNNNNNNNNNNNNNNNNNNNNNNNNNNNNNNNNNNNNNNNNNNNNNNNNNNNNNNNNNNNNNNNNNNNNNNNNNNNNNNNNNNNNNNNNNNNNNNNNNNNNNNNNNNNNNNNNNNNNNNNNNNNNNNNNNNNNNNNNNNNNNNNNNNNNNNNNNNNNNNNNNNNNNNNNNNNNNNNNNNNNNNNNNNNNNNNNNNNNNNNNNNNNNNNNNNNNNNNNNNNNNNNNNNNNNNNNNNNNNNNNNNNNNNNNNNNNNNNNNNNNNNNNNNNNNNNNNNNNNNNNNNNNNNNNNNNNNNNNNNNNNNNNNNNNNNNNNNNNNNNNNNNNNNNNNNNNNNNNNNNNNNNNNNNNNNNNNNNNNNNNNNNNNNNNNNNNNNNNNNNNNNNNNNNNNNNNNNNNNNNNNNNNNNNNNNNNNNNNNNNNNNCGUUUGAGGUGCAGCUACUGUUCUAGCAAUCCUGCCUACUGGUUUAAGGCUGAUCUUUGUUACCUCAAUCAGGUGUAGUCGUUUCACUUCUUAUUACUUGUAAUAGUUUGGUUGAAUCCUCUUCUUGAUAGGUGUUCUUGGAGAGUGGAUGUGUGUGUGAGAGUGCUGAAAUAGGUUUUUUCAGCAAGAGUACCUAAGUUCUUGUAGGUUUCAAGAACAGUGGGAAGUGUACUUGAUUGUACUGUGUGUUAGUGAAUUCCACCUGUUGUUGGUGAAGACUGGAUGUAGCUCAGGUUGAGUGAACCAGUAUAAUUGCUUGUGUUCAUUCUCUCUCUCUCUCUCUGCAAUUUCGUUUCUGCAUAAUUGAUAAAACAGCAAAGAAAUAAAUCUGUUCAAUUGAAAAUAAAUCUGUUCUUUCUGGGCACUGUGCAUACUGUUCUUGAUUUCUGAAAAAGGUGUUUGAAUCUGAUAAGAACAUACGUAAUCUGCUAAAACCAUUGGAACAGAUUGACUGUGAUAGGCUGUUCAAGAAACUGUCAAUGCUAUUAAUUGAACCUUAAACAAAUUGCUUAAAGUUGAAGCUUGCUGUGUUGUGAUUCAUUGUUCUUAAUUUCUGGAAAAUUUCUUGACAUCAAGAAGAACACUCAUAGUCUGUUAAAAGUCACAGGAACAGCUUGUUUGCAAAGGUCACUCAAUUAAUUAGCAUACUAUCAAUUGAACCUUAAUCACUUGCUUGAAAUUGAAGCUUGCUGUUUUGUGUUUCACUGUUUUUCAAAUCUAAUAUCUGUGUGUGUGCAUCUGGAAAUUCUCACUGCAUAAUCUUGUGAUUAACCUUACUGAAUUAAAAGUUUUUCAAACAAAAACAGUGCUGAAAUAAAUCUGUUCAUUUUAACAUAAAUCGAUUUAUUUUCUGUAAAACUGGNNNNNNNNNNNNNNNNNNNNNNNNNNNNNNNNNNNNNNNNNNNNNNNNNNNNNNNNNNNNNNNNNNNNNNNNNNNNNNNNNNNNNNNNNNNNNNNNNNNNNNNNNNNNNNNNNNNNNNNNNNNNNNNNNNNNNNNNNNNNNNNNNNNNNNNNNNNNNNNNNNNNNNNNNNNNNNNNNNNNNNNNNNNNNNNNNNNNNNNNNNNNNNNNNNNNNNNNNNNNNNNNNNNNNNNNNNNNNNNNNNNNNNNNNNNNNNNNNNNNNNNNNNNNNNNNNNNNNNNNNNNNNNNNNNNNNNNNNNNNNNNNNNNNNNNNNNNNNNNNNNNNNNNNNNNNNNNNNNNNNNNNNNNNNNNNNNNNNNNNNNNNNNNNNNNNNNNNNNNNNNNNNNNNNNNNNNNNNNNNNNNNNNNNNNNNNNNNNNNNNNNNNNNNNNNNNNNNNNNNNNNNNNNNNNNNNNNNNNNNNNNNNNNNNNNNNNNNNNNNNNNNNNNNNNNNNNNNNNNNNNNNNNNNNNNNNNNNNNNNNNNNNNNNNNNNNNNNNNNNNNNNNNNNNNNNNNNNNNNNNNNNNNNNNNNNNNNNNNNNNNNNNNNNNNNNNNNNNNNNNNNNNNNNNNNNNNNNNNNNNNNNNNNNNNNNNNNNNNNNNNNNNNNNNNNNNNNNNNNNNNNNNNNNNNNNNNNNNNNNNNNNNNNNNNNNNNNNNNNNNNNNNNNNNNNNNNNNNNNNNNNNNNNNNNNNNNNNNNNNNNNNNNNNNNNNNNNNNNNNNNNNNNNNNNNNNNNNNNNNNNNNNNNNNNNNNNNNNNNNNNNNNNNNNNNNNNNNNNNNNNNNNNNNNNNNNNNNNNNNNNNNNNNNNNNNNNNNNNNNNNNNNNNNNNNNNNNNNNNNNNNNNNNNNNNNNNNNNNNNNNNNNNNNNCCUUCAAAGGAUUUGGAUUCUUCAAAGCUUGAACACCACUUGGUUCAAUAAUCUCCCCCUAUUUGAUGAAGACAAAUCCCUGAUGCUUGUGUUGUACCUAAUUAAAUCUGAAGCAGUUCCUGCAAUAGAACUUUGGGCAAAACAUUGAACUUCUGAUAUUUUGUUAGGAUACAGAUUAGCAGUUAAAGAUCAAAACACCUAAUAUCAGAAACAUAUUACAUAACCCAAACUGUUUUAUCAACUGAAAACAGAAACUCAAAAACACAACAUAUAUCUCCCCCUAUUUGUCUUCACAAAUAGACAAAGAUAAAAGAUAAAACAAAAUAUUGUUUUCAUUACAUCAGAAUUAAAGCAGCAACAGCAGAAGGAAGAAAAAAACUCAGAAAGAUUAGCCAAAAACAAUGGAUUGGUUAUCGAAACAAUCGGUUGUUUUUCCUUCAUUCUUCUUCAUCAGCAAACUGAAGAUCAAAGAUUUGAUUCUGAACAGCUUCAAUCUGUUCAUCUAGAGUCAUAAACCUUGCAUCCAUGUUGUCAAAUCUGGUGUCAAUCCUUUGGAAAUUACUAAUGCAGAGAUCAUGGAGGCUCCUUUGAUUUUCAGCAAAGCUAUCAAGCCUAUUCAUCAUAAGUCUUUCAAAAGACGACAUGGUUGGCAUCCUUUCUCCUUGAUGUCCAUCAUCAGCACUUGGUCCAACAUAUUGAAAAUCUUCAGGUGGAUUUUCAUGUUGAACAUCCAUAUCAGCAGGUUGAUCUUGUUCAAGAUUUGCAGCACCACUUGAUGAGGCACCAUGAUCACCAUCCUUGCUUAUCCAUUUUCCACCUACUAUUGUAAAACCCAUCUUGCUGAGUGNNNNNNNNNNNNNNNNNNNNNNNNNNNNNNNNNNNNNNNNNNNNNNNNNNNNNNNNNNNNNNNNNNNNNNNNNNNNNNNNNNNNNNNNNNNNNNNNNNNNNNNNNNNNNNNNNNNNNNNNNNNNNNNNNNNNNNNNNNNNNNNNNNNNNNNNNNNNNNNNNNNNNNNNNNNNNNNNNNNNNNNNNNNNNNNNNNNNNNNNNNNNNNNNNNNNNNNNNNNNNNNNNNNNNNNNNNNNNNNNNNNNNNNNNNNNNNNNNNNNNNNNNNNNNNNNNNNNNNNNNNNNNNNNNNNNNNNNNNNNNNNNNNNNNNNNNNNNNNNNNNNNNNNNNNNNNNNNNNNNNNNNNNNNNNNNNNNNNNNNNNNNNNNNNNNNNNNNNNNNNNNNNAAGGUUUCCCUUGUUGAUUCUUAGACCAGAAAACUUAAGUCCAGCAACAGCAGUCCAAACUUCAUGAGUUAUCUCCAUUUCUACACCUUUCACAUGAGAAACUAGAUUGUUUCCCUCAAACUUCAAGUUUGUGUAGAACACCCUCACCAAAUCUGGAUAAAUGUUUCCCUUCAUCUCCAGAAACUCUCUGAGAGAUUGAUCCUUGAGUAGCCUUCUCACAUUAUCAAGCUUUUGACUUUUCAGCCAAUCAAAGCAUACAACCUUGGGGUUGUUUAUCUUCUUGAUACUUGUUUCAUACCUAUACUUCUCAAUGAGAUCAUUAUCUCCAGAAAACCAGCCUUCUAGCCUUCCUCCAGACCUUACAGCCCUUGUUUUGACUCUUUUUGAGGUGGGAGGAGUUGAUUCCAUGACAGCAGAGACGAAAACAGAGGAGAACACUCUUCACAGAUUUUUGCAAGAGAUGUUGCAAUUGGUUGUUCUUUGUUGAAGAAUUCUGCACUGGAUUUUAUAGCAGUAAGAGAAUCAAUAUGAAUUUAAUUUCAUUAAAGGGUACCUGAUUUUCAGAGAGAGAGGACUUGACUCUGCUCUGCACAGAAAAAGUCAGAAAAAGCUGAAAAUCACAUGGUCUUCACAUGUGAUCUUUGACUAGUCAUUAAGGCUCUUGAAUUUCCAAGAUUUUGGAAUAUUCUUCUUUAUGACUGUUGUAACUUCUCUUUGAACGUAAUCAGCUUUCAAUUACAGGUUCUUUGACCAAGAUUCUCCCUUUGAAUUGAUCUGCAACGGAUAGAAAUUCAAAAUAGCAAUUAAAAGGAUUUCUUCAUAGUGCUGUCAGACCCAAAACAAUCGGUUGUUUCGAAGAAACAAUCGGUUGUUUUUCUGCAGCAGUUAAAACUGUUUUUGAAUUUUAACCAUGAGCAGAAGGAGUUCAAAGCAGAUGAUAUUAAUCAUAACAAGAUUGUUUUAACCAUGAGAAAGAACUUUGAAACAAAAAUUGAGAAAAAAUUAAAGGAAAGUCUUAUCCUUAUGUUGAUUCUUCAAUGAGCCAUGUGCUUUUUGAUCAAGAAGCUUCUUUUCACUGUUGAUGUCUUUUGCACAGUAUUGAUUCAGCUUCAAUGACUGCCUUUUUCUUCAACAGCCUGAUCAGAUGACUCGGUUCUUCUUUUUCUCUUUAGUUUUCCUGCAUAAGCAAUUUCAAGUAGCAAGAUUUGGUCCCCUUGCAAAUUUGGGUCCGUUUGACUUUUCUUUGCAGUUAGAAACAUCACAUCCCUUAGGAAUCCAUUUCAUAAAACCUCUUGGAACAGAAUAUUUUAUAAUUUUACAGAACCUAACAGAGUGGCCUUUCUUCAUGCAGUAAAAGCAUGUAACAACCGGUUGUUUCGUCUUAACAAUCGGUUGUUUUUCUGAUUUUCUUGAAAAACUUUUUGAAAACCUAUCUUGCUUGUUUUGUGGAUUAAAGCCUAAACCAGCCUUUCCAAAAACACAGCUUUUAGAUGUCAAGACAUUCUCAAAGUUUGAUUUACCCUUUGAAAGCUUGUCCACAGUUUCAACAAGAUAGUGAACAUUUUCUCAAGAUUUUCACAAUUUGUGCAAAUGAGAGUAUCACACUUGCAAGAGGCAUUUUUUAAAUGAUUUUCCAAUUUUUCAAAAUCACUUUUUGCUUUUUCCAGAUCCUCUUCAAGUGAUUUAACUCUUUUUUUAAGCCAACUGUUAAGAUCUUUCAAUCGGUUGUUUGAAAGAACCAAUCUAUUAGUUUCAUCAUGUGUUUCUUGAAAAGCUUCAAGCAUUUCACUGUAAUUUUGUUCAUUUAAGGAAGCACAUGAACUUACCUCACUUGAGCUGCAAUAUUCAUCAUCAUUUUCAGCUACUAAACAUAUGUUUGCUUUUUCAUCUUCACUUGAUGAAGAACUUGAUGAUGACACCUCAUUUUCAUCCCAAGCUAUGCAAGCUCUUUUUGUCUUGCCUUUCUUCUCCUUGUAACUAGUCUUUUUCUCUUUGCUCUUGUUGGGACAAUCUGCCUUUAUAUGACCUUGCUCACCACAACCAAAACAAGUAUAGUUAUUUGAAUUGAAUUCAUUGGGUUUCUUGUUUCCAUACCUAUCCUUGUUGUUGUCUUUGUUGUGGUUUCUCUUUAGGAAUUUGCUGAAUUUUCUUGACAGCAAGCUAAGGUUUUCCUCAUCACUAUCAUCACUUGAAUCUUGCUUUCCCUUGUGUUUGGAUGCUUUCAAGGCUAUGCUCCUUGUGUGCUUAUCUUCACUCUCUUGAACAUUGAGUCUAUUCAUCUCUAGCUCAUGUUCCCUGAGCUUUCCAAACAAAGAAGCAACACUUAAUGAUGUUAGAUCUUUAGAUUCGGAAAUAGCAGUUACCUUUGGUUGCCAUGCUCUAUCAAGACAUUUCAAGAUCUUGAUGUUCAGCUCUUCUUUGUCAAAGGUCUUGUUUAGGCUCAUAAGGUGAUUGAUGAUGUGCGUAAACCUUUUUUGCACCUCAGCAAUUGUUUCUCCUUUAAGCAUUCUAAACAUCUCAUACUCUUGGAUGAGAGCAAGCUUUCUAGCUCUUUUCACCUCAUUUGUUCCUUCAUGAGUGACUUCCAAAGUGUCCCACAUUUCUUUUGAUAGUUUGCAUUUUCAGACCCUGAAAAACUCAUCAGAAUUUAAAGCAGAGGUUAUAAUAUUUUUGGAAAUGCAAUCGAAUUUGGCCUUUUUGCUUUCUGCAUUAGUCCAUUGAGACCAUGGCUUCUCAAUGACAGAACCAUCCUUUUCAAACUUUGGGAUAAAAGGACCAUUUUCAAUUGCAUCCCAAAUUCCUUUAUCAAGAGAUUCCAUAAAUAUUUUCAUUCUAACUUUCCAAAACUGGUAGUUCAAACCACAAAACAAAGGUGGUCUGUUAAUUGAAGCACCUUUCCCAAACGGUAGUCUAUCAGCCAUUUAAAAAGAUUUUUAGGACCAACUUGAAUAUCUUUCAAGAACCAAGCUCUUGAUGCCAAUUGUUAGAAAAGAUGGCUUUAAACUAGAAGGGGGAGGGGGGGGGGGUGAAUUGUUUAAAAGGGUUUUCGCAAACUUUUCAAAACUAUAAUGAAUUUAUCUCAGUAACCAAUUGAUUCAGUAAUUCAGUUAGCCAAAACAGCAAGAAAAAACUAUAGAACCAGAAAAACAAUCUGUUGUUUCGUAGAAACAAUCGGUUCUUUAUACUAGCAAACAAUAAAUAAACUGAAUUUAAAGAGUUAGAGAUAGAGAGAUUGUACACAGUUGUUUAUACUGGUUCACUCCAAACCAGAGCUACAUCCAGUCUUCUCAGAAACUCUGAGGAUACCCACUAAGCAAUCACCACUUGAUCACUUACACAACAACCAAGAGAAUGACCUUGAACACCUAAAGAAACACACUCUCCUUGGCCAACACUAAGAUUGCUGAUCUUGAACACCUCAAUAACACACAACCAAUCUCAGCAAACACAGAAACGAAAUUGUUCAACAGAGUACAAGGAUUACACUUGUUACAAAAGAUAAUCUGAAAUCAAUACAAGCAGAAUCCUAUUCCAGCACUUUGAUCAAUCACAAACUCUUAGCAAUCUCAGCACUUUGAAAAACUCUCUUAGAAAAACUUUGUCAAAGAUUCUUAAUACUUAAAUCUGUUUUUCUGAAUAUAUUCAAAGAUGUAGUUUGUUAUCAAAUCUUAACAAACUCUUAAAUUGCAUUAAAAGAUUGGUCAAAGCAUUUAAUGACUGGAGCGUAAACAGUUAAAUCAUUUAACCAUUCAAAACAGUUUUCAAACUUUUUUCAAAACACCUAAGUACAAACAAUCGAUUGUUUCGACAAAACAAUCGAUUGUUUUUACUUAGUUCGAAAUCAUUUUGUUUUCACAAAGAUUGAGAAUGCUAAUGCUUUAGAUUUAAUCACAGGGUGGAUUACAACAUAUAAACUACCCCAGAACAAAGCUUAAACCAGCACAGCAACGUCAAGCACAACAGAGGCUUCAACAUCCUUCAAAGGAUUUGGAUUCUUCAAAGCUUGAACACCACUUGGUUCAACAAUCUCCCCCUAUUUGAUGAUGACAAAUCCCUGAUGCUUGUGUUGUACCUGAUUAAAUCUGAAGCAGUUCCUGCAAUAGAACUUUGAGAAAAACAUUGAACUUCUGAUAUUUUGUUAGGAUACAGAUUAGCAGUUAAAGAUCAAAACACCUAAUAUCAGACACAUAUUACNNNNNNNNNNNNNNNNNNNNNNNNNNNNNNNNNNNNNNNNNNNNNNNNNNNNNNNNNNNNNNNNNNNNNNNNNNNNNNNNNNNNNNNNNNNNNNNNNNNNNNNNNNAUUGUUUUCAUUACAUCAGAAUUAAAGCAGCAACAGCAGAAGGAAGAAAAAAAACUCAGAAAGAUUAGUCAAAAACAAUCGAUUGGUUAUCGAAACAAUCAGUUGUUUUUCCUUCAUUCUUUUUCAUCAGCAAACUGAAGAUCAAAGAUUUGAUUCUGAACAGCUUCAAUCUGUUCAUCCAGAGUCAUAAACCUUGCAUCCAUGUUGUCAAAUCUGGUGUCAAUCCUUUGGAAAUUACUAACACAGAGAUCAUGGAGGCUCCUUUGAUUUUCAGCAAAGCUAUCAAGCCUAUUCAUCAUGAAUUUUUCAAAAGACGACAUGGUUUGCAUCCUUUCUCCUUGAUGUCCAUCAUCAGCAAAAACAUCUUUCAGCAAAGUUUAUGCAUAGUGAGUAGUUUUUGAUAAUUUGACCCACACUCAAGUGCUUGGAAAGAGAAGUGCAUGAACAUGAUGUGUGUCAACUGAGUGAAGAGGAUGCCACCAAUAUGCAUGUAAAGAUGCACAGUUACAGUGUCCAAGGACUUGGCUCAUGUGACACUCAGGGUGUGUUUGCUUUUAGGGGUGGCACUAUAACUAUAGAUGGAUUAGAAGAUGCCACCCCCGUUUGGUUCUGUAAGAGGGGGAGAUUGUGGUUGGGGGUGAAUGGGAAGAUGGGGGUAUUGAGGGUGCUCUCAUAAUUGAAGAUAAAGGAGAGUGGAAUGAGAGGAAAGCCACGUAGAACGUAUGCAAAUACCAAGGUGCCCUUACUUUCUCACGUUUUUGGACUUACACACAACCAUUACAGCUUUGCAUGGGAGCAGCAGUGCAAAACAGUGGCCAACAAACAACAAUGGCCAAUCUGUGCAUAAGAUUCCUGAAUUUGGUUCAGGAAUCUCUUUGACCACGUUCAAUGCCAAUUGAAUGCAUCAUUGAGUUGGUGAGAGAGUAGUUGCAUCAUAAUUGUGAUGCACGAGUAUAUAAGAGGGUUUUUGCGAAGCUAAGCAAGCACACAACAUUUUCAAAUCUUCCUACAUAGUUUUGCAUUGGGUUAGGGUGCUUGGAGAGGGUCGUCAGUAAGCAUAGAGGUAGGAGAGUGAGUUUGGUUGUUCAUCUCUGACCUCAGGUUACAUUUCUUUGAUUUUAGUUUCAUGCAUAACCGAUUGUCAUUGAAAAACAACACACUACAUAAUCGAUUAUGUAGUUAAAAAUAGUGGAUAAUUGAUUAUGAUUGUGACAUAAUCGAUUAUCUGAUAUCUUUUGCUUAGCAUAAUCGAUUAUGGGGGCUGUGUAAUUAUGAAUUUAAUCGAUUAUCUUGGAGUAUAAUCAAUUAUGUUGGAUUUUUAACUGCAAAAAAAAUUUCGAUUAUGCCUCUUAAAUCUUUGAAUAAUCGAUUACGUGGUUUUUUUAAGGAAACUUUUAAUCGGUUAUGUUCAUGGUUUUUCAAGAUUUUUUUUUUUAAAAAUUUUGUUUAUAAUUCUUAUUCAUUUUUUUCAGGCACAAUUUGAUCUUGCUGACAGUUGCAUUGUCUUGUGAUUUUGUUCUUCUCUCUUGAGGUAUGCUUUUUUUUUUAAAUGUAUGUGUUAUUUAUGUUUAAAUUGUGUUUGGAUGUUUAUUGUUUUUGGAAUUGAAUUGUUUAAAUUAUUUUAAAUAAUUUAUUCAUGUUAAUUAGUUUAUAACUUUAGAUGUCAAUGUUUAGGAUUAAUUUAUUAGUUAUAUUACUAAAUUAAUUCUUUUGUUAAGUUAUUUAUGUUGGAGGAAUUUUUUUUUAUGAAAUAUCAAUAUUUAUUUUCUGUGACCUGAAAUGAAAUUAUAAAUAUGAAUAUGUAUUUUAAAAAUAUUAUUAUUAAAAAAAUUAUAAAAAAUUGUAGUAAUUAAAAAAAGGUGAAAAAGAAAUUUGAAUUUUUAAUAAUAUGUGUAGAUAGUAAUUAUUAUUUUUGAAUAAAAAAUAGAUUUAUUUAUUUAAAAUGAAUAUUUUUACAAAAUGGAAAUAAAAAUUUGUAAUUUUACGGUUUUAUUUUUAGAUUUUACAUAAAUUAUUAAUGUUAUAAUUAAAAAUAUUAUAAAAAAUGUUGUAGUAAUUAAAAAAAGUAGAAAAAGUUUAGAGAAGAAAUUUGAAUUUUUAAUAAUAUGUGUAGAUACUUAUUAGUUUUUGAACAUUUAACUAUUUAUAAGAAAUAUAUUAUUUUAUUUAAAAUUAAUAUUUUUACAUAAUGGAAAACGAAAUUUUAAAUGUUUAGGUUUUUCUGUUAGAUUUGACAUAAAUUAUUAAUGUUAUAAUUAAAAUGAUUAUAAAAAAUGUUGUAGUAAUUAAAAAAAGUGAAAAGUUUAGAGAAAAAAAUUGAAUUUUUAAUAAUAUGUGUAAAUAAUUAUUUUUUGAACAUUUAACUGUUUAUAAGAAAUACAUUAUUUUAUUUAAAAUUAAUAUUUUUACAGAAUGGAAAACGAAAUUUUUAAUGUUUAGGGUUUUUUUUAUAGAUUUUACAUAAAUUAUUAAUGUUAUAUUUAAAAAGAUUAUAAAAAAUGUUGUAGUAAUUAAAAAAGUGGAAAAAGUUUAGAAAAGAAAUUUGAAUUGUUAAUAAUAUGUGUAGAUACUUAUUAUAUUUUGAACAUUUAACGAUUUAUAAGAAAUAGAUUAUUUUAUUUAAAAUUAAUAUUUUUAUAGAAUGGAAAACGAAAUUUUUAAUAUUUAGGGUUUUUUUUAAAUUUUACAUAAAUUAUUAAUGUUAUAAUUAAAAGGAUUAUAAAAAAUGUUGUAGUAAUUAAAAAAAGCACAAAAGUUUUAGAGAAGAAAUUUGAAUGUUUAAUAAUGUGUACAUAGUUAUUAUUUUUUGAACAUUUAACUGUUUAUAAAAUAUAUAUUUAUUUAUUAUAAUGGAAAUAGAAAUUUUAAUGUUUACGGAUUUUCCUUUUACAUUUUACAUUUUACAUGAAUAUUUGAUAUUUGAAUAUUUGUAAAUAUUUAUUAUUGUUAUUAUAGUUAUUUAAUUUUAUGUAAUUGUUAAUUUUGUUUGUUUAUAUUUAUUUGUUCUUUGAUUAAAUUAUAAUAUUAAAAAAUUGAAUUUUUGUAUAUAUUUAUGUCAUUUUUGUUAUAUUACAGAAAUAAAAUUAUAGAGUCAUUUAUAAUAAAUUUUUUAUUAUAAUUAAUUAAAAUUAGGUUUUAGGGUCACUGUAUCGAUGUAGUUUUACACCAAAACGGUAAACGCAUUCGGUAUGUUGUAUUGACACUUACCUGUAAUCAUGGUCUUGGAUGAAAGUUAAACAUUACAUGGAUAACAUUAUCAAUUUGACAAGGCAUUAUAACGAGGCAGAGAUAGUACAUUUUGAGGAAACGAUUGCAAUUAUGACGAUCUUGUUGCGAUAAACAUGAAUUUAAUUUCACAAAUCCAACAACAAAUUAAAAAUAAUACUGAAGGUGCAUCAGUGAUGAUCUUUUGUAUGAUUGCUUUUGGAUUGAAUUUGUUACGCACGGUGCGUACUAGAAACAAUAUGAGUGAGUUCCAACCACAAAAAGAGCGUCGCAGACAAGAAUUGAUGCAGUACUUGAUUCACACUGAACAAUGUCAUGAUAUUAUCCACAUGGGACCAAAAGCUUUCCUUCAAUUAUGUCAACAAAUACGAGGAACUGGACUUGUUAAAGAUGCAUAUCGAUCAACCGUGGAAGAACAAGUUGCGAAAUUUCUACAAAUUAUUGGGCAUAAUGUGAAGAAUUGAAGUGUGUCAUUUUUUUCCAUCGGUUUGGAGAAACAAUUUCCCGUCACUUUCAUAAUAUUUUGAGUACAAUUUUAAGGUUGGAGGGGGAAUUCUUAAUUCAACCAAAUGGAACGGUUGUAGAACCGCACAUCCUUAAUAACAGUCGAUUUUACCACUACUUUAAGGUUUGUUUAUGAACACAUUAUUUUAAAUUAUAUAUAAUGUUUUAUUUAUUUUGUGUUUAAUUAAAGUUAUGAAAUUUGAUUUACAUUAGGAUUGUUUAGGGGCCAUAGAUGAGACUUAUGUACGUGUUAAGGUUGCACGUGUUGAUGCAUCUCGUUUUCGAGGGAGAAAAGAUUGGCCAACCCAAAACAUAUUUGCAGGUUGUGACUUUGACAUGAAGUUUACAUAUGUCCUGGGUGGUUGGGAAGGAACUGCCUCCGAUUCAAGGAUAUUGAAAGAUGCUUUGGUACGAGACAAUCCUUUGGUUAUUUCGGAAGGUUAGUUUUAGUGGAUUGUGUGUGCAAAACAAUAAAUAGGUUAUAAUAGUAUAUACUAAUGUAGUUUUCAAUCUUUGUAGGAAAAUACUAUAUUGGUGAUGCAGGUUUUAUGUUAAAACCAAAUAUAGUAACACCUUAUCGCGGGGUUAUAUACCAUUUGAAAGAAUAUUUGCGAAGAGGGUCACAAAAUGCUAAAGAGUUGUUUAAUCUUCGACAUUCAUCACUUAGAAAUGUAAUUGGGAGAACUUUUAGGGUGAUAAAGAAACGAUUUCCAACUAUAGUCAGUGGGACUGAGCCAUAUUAUGAUGUUGAUACUAUGACAAAAAUUGUUUUAGCUUGUUGUAUUCUGCAUAUCGCGGGGUCAACAAUUAUGAGUCUUGUUGAACCAAGUGGUGUUCAAGUUUUGAAGAAUCCAAAUCCUUUGAAGGAUGUUGAAGCCUGUACUAUGUUUGAUGUUGCUGUGCUGGUUUAAGCUUUGUUCUGGGGUAUUUUAUAUGUUGUAAUCCACCCUAUGAUUAAAUCUAAAGCAUUAGCAUUCUCAAUCUUUGUGAAAGUAAAAUGUUUUCAAACUAAGUUAAAACAACUGAUUGUUUUGUCGAAACAACCGAUUGUUUAUACUUAGGUGUUUUUGAGAAAAAGAUUGAAAACUGUUUUGAAUGGUUGAACUGUUAAGUACCAAAACAACCGAUUGAUUUGAGGAAACAACCGAUUGUUUGUUUUGGGACCAUAACAGAAAAACUGUUUUCUCUUUGACUGAGCUUUAAAUGUUUUAACUGCUUACGCUCCAGUCAUUAAAUGCUUUGACCGAUCUUUUAAUGCAAUUUAAGAGUUUGUUAAGAUUUGAUAACAAACUACAUCUUUGAAUAAAUUCAGAAAAACAGAUUUGACAAUAAAGAAUUUUUUGACAAAGUUUUUCUAAGAGUUUUUCAAAGUGCUGAGAUUGCUAAGAGUUUGUGAUUGAUCAAAGUGUUGGAAUAGGAUUCUGCUUGUAUUGAUUUCAGAUUAUAUUCUGUAACAAGUGUAAUCCUUGUACUCUGUUAAACAAUUCGUUUUUUGUGUUUGCUGAGAUUGGCUGUGUGUUCUUGAGGUGUUCAAGAUCAACAAUCUUAGUGUUGGCCAAGGAGAGUGUGUUUCUUGAGGUGUUCAAGGUCAUUUUCUUGGUUGUGGUGUAAGUGAUCAAGUGGUGAUUGCUUAGUGGAUAUCCUCAGGGUUUCUGAGAAGACUGGAUGUAGCUUUGAUUUGGAGUGAACCAGUAUAAAUAACUGUGUACAAUCUCUCUAUCUCUAACUCUUUAAAUUCAGUUUAUUUGUUGUUUGCUGGUAUAAACAACCGAUUGUUUGUACGAAACAACCGAUUGUUUUUCUGGUACUAUAGCUUUUGCUUGCUGUUUUGGCUAACUGAAUUGAUGAAUCAAUUGGUUCCUGAGAUAAAUUCAUUCUAUUUUGAAAAUUUUGCGAAAUCCCUCUUUAAACAAUUCACAUCCAUCUAGUUUAAAGCCAUCUUUUCUAACAAGUCUUUGAUUGAAGAAGUAGACCAUGAAUUGUUACAAAAAGAUGUACAACCUAUCCCUACCCAUGCUCGGGAGCAUGAUUAUAGGCUAUGGUGUCAUAUUAUUGAUACUAUACCAAACAAAAUGAGGCAAGAUUAUGUAAACAAUUAAUUUGAUGACAUAAUAUAUUUUCUCCUUUAUUCCAAUGUUUGUCAUCCUAACUUUAUUUAAGUAAAUUAUAUGGAUUGCUGGAAGAAUGUUGCACCAGAUUCAUCAGGUGGUUAUCGAGAGUUGGCUAAGUGGAUGACAGAGAUGGACCUAAUUAUGCUAAAUGCAAUGAUUGAAGAGGUACGUCGAGGAUGCAGAAUUGAUGAUAGUUGGACCACUCAAGGAUAUACUAACAUUGUUAUUGUUAUGGCUCUACACGAGGCUGCAUUAUCGGCUAUUAAGAAAAACCAUGUAAAAAAUCGUCAAAAAAGCCUGAAGGACAAGUGGGGGGAAGUGCAUGAUUUGUUCGAUGGAUUGAGUGGUUUCGCAUGGAACCAGACCACCCUCUGUUUUGAAGCAGAGGACGAAGUUUGGAAUGACUGGAUCAAGGUACGAUGAUAAGUAUAUUUUACAACAAAUAGAUUUGACUGCACAUUUGGUCAUAAUGUACUAAUAUAUCACAUCUAUGUAGGCGUGUCAAUCCCAUUCGCCAUUAUAACCUAAUGAAAAUGACAGAGCCACCAGAAGUCGGGUCAGGACAACCCGUGACAUCAAUUCACCUCCUGACAUAAGUAAUUUCAGUGUCAACCUUGACGAUAAUAAUAUGGAUUAUAUACCCGAGCAACCCAACUUUGAAGAGGCAGAUGACAACGUCCCACGAUCACUUGAUUCUCAUAUUCAAUCAAGUGACACUCAUUCUGACACUCCCUCAAAUACUCAUUCUAUGCCUUCUGCGGGCACAACCCCAUCUCAAGGAUCAAAAAGAAAAAGGCACACCAUGGAUGGAAUUGAUGAACAUUUUGCUUUGUUGAAUACAAAUAUCCAACUUUCGUCAAUGAAGGAUGGAAAUUAGAAUGCCUCUGAGUUGGUUGACAUUGCUCGUGCACAAGCAACCGCAACACAAGAUAUAAUUGCGGAAAAUUAGAUAAAAAAAUGACUUAUAUGUUGAGCAUGUACACCAUCAUCGUCACCAUGCAUCGUAUCAGUACUUCGAGUCUGAUAUUUGGGUAAUGCUUUUGGAGCAUAACAUUCAGGAUGAACACGUCAUGGAUCAAUGUUACGAGUUUUUAUGUGAGCAUCCAGGAAGAGUUAAGUAACUAUUUGGGAUGUCAUACGAGCGUCGCAAGACAAAGUUGUUUGCAUUUAUGACUAGGCGUUGAUUUCAUAUCUCUGCGUCCGCUUUACCUUCAUGUCUUUCAAUUACAUGUUGUCCUUUUAUUUCAUUUGACUUGUGUAAUUUUUGUGUGUAUGUUUCUUAUUGGACAAUUAUGAUAAAAACUUGUAGUAUUCUAGUUGAGGACUUUUAGUAUUAUGUUUUCAUUGGACAUGUAAUAUUUUCUUUAUGAAGUUGUACUAUUGUGUUUGAUAACACCUUCUAUUUUGUUUAUCAUAUUAUGUUAACUUUCGUUUACUUAUAAUUUAGUUUGAUAUUUGAUGUCAUGAACAUUUUUUUAUAUAUAUCGUAGUAAUUGCAUUAUACAUGGCAUCAUCAUCUCAGAAAUGCCACAAAACCCAUAAGGGUAAAAGUUAUGCAUUCUCCAUUUUUUGCUACUCUAGGGUUUGAAUUCUAAAACCUUUUGAAUUUCCAAGGUUUAUAACCUUUCCUUGGAAUGAAACUUUCAUAUUAUGACGACAUGGUAAGAUUAUUUUAUACGAAUGUAAAGAUCACACUAUUGGUCACCUUGCCAUUGAGAUUUGUGGAAGGCAUAUACAUAUUAAUCAAUUGGAUUGGAUGAACAUUGUCAAUCUCAGAUAUGACAGUGUUAAGUUAACCCCUAGGACAAUCCCCGAGGAAGUGAAUUUUGAUCAAGCACUAGCAUUAUCAUCCAUGAUUCAUGAAAAUGUUCAAGGUAAAAAUGUAAGAAAUGUCGGUAGUCUAAAAAUGAAUGACUAACUAUUACAUUACACAUGGGUGCAUAUCUUGUGCCCUCAUGGCAACAACUUGACACAACUAUUGAAUGAACAUAUUUUCAUGUUGUGGUUAAUAAAAAAUAAUGUAAUGAUUAAUUGGCCUCAUUACAUCAUGCAACACAUGAUCAAAUGUCGGGAUAACAACAUGCCUCUACAAUAUGAAAUUUUAAUAACACGGGUCUUGCAGGUGUAUGGCUUCGAAUUGUCAAAUGUGCAAGCAAUAAUGCUAGGAUGGAAUCAUUACUUUAGGAAAAAGAGUAUGACCAAAUUAAAUAUAUUCCAGGUCAAUGGUGUAUGGCAUUUUGGUAGGCCGCACCAGGAAAACGAAGGAGAUGAUGAAGAGAAUAGGCACAAGAAGAUGUUCAAGGUGGUCAACCUGAGCCCGCAAUCAUUAAUCAAACCGAAUUGUUAACCCAAAUUUUGGCCGGAAUAGAAAACAUGAAUACCCGGUUUGACAAGGUUGAUCAAAGGAUGGACCGAAUUGAGGAUACUCUAACUGACAUUCGGCGUCAUCAAGGUCAUUGAUUGUCUUAUCAUUAUGUUAUUAUCAUUAUUAUUUUUAUUUCUAUUUUUCAUGUUGAACAUUAAUGAAUUGUUAUUGUUAUUUUUGUCGUUGAACAUUGACAAAUUGUUAUUUAAUAUUAAGUUUUUAUGGUAGAUUUCAUGGUACUUAUUUAGAUAAUGAUAUUAUUUUCAAUGCAACUUUUAUAACAUUUUUUUUUCUAUUAUGCAUAAAUCAAAUUUGGGCUCCAUGACCUAAUACAGAAGUUCAAGAGCAUUGGUUAAGUGGUCUUCAAUGUUUGCAUAUCACAACACUUCGUCGUCUAGUUGUACCGGGUGUGGUGUGCAAAAACGUGGUACUUUUACCCAUGCUACUGGGAGCACAAGUGCCUUUGUUUCUCCUAUUUUUGAUUGUGGAGAGUUUGAUGUUUUGAGAACAACAAUAGAAAAAAAAUACUGGAAAACAAUUUUGGGGUUGUCCCAAGUACAAGGUAAAAUUUAUUGAAUUAGGUUUUAUACAAACUUAAGAAUGCUAUUUUAAACUUAUUGAUUCUUCUAUUUUAUUCUUUUCUUCAAAACAGAUUACAAGUGGCAUGGUCCUAGACUGUAUUUUUUCAAAUGGUGCAUUGAAGACGUUGCCGAUGAAAAAGAUGCAAUUAUUGUCAGACAACGGAGGCAGAUAUGUCUUCUAGAAAACCGUUUGAAGGUUUUCAUAAGAAGGAUUAAAAUGUUAUUAGUGGGGAUGUGUUUUCUUUUUUCUAAUUAACAUUAUUAUGUUAUUCAUUUUUACAUAAUUUCAAAAUUACAAACAAAUUAACAUGUCUUUAUCUCUUUCUGGAUCAAAUGUAAUGACUUUAUAUUAUAUAUUUUGACAACUACUUAAUAUUCAUGCUAUGUUUUAAAUAUGCAUUUACUUUUUAAAAUAUAUUGAUUUUGUUAAUGAUAAUAAUGAAAAUCAUUAUUAAUAAAAUUUUUGUAAAUAUAUAUAUAUAUAUAUAUAUAUAUAUAUCAUAACAUAAUUUAAAGAAUCAUAAAUAACAUUAAAAUUAUCUAAAUAAAUUAACUCAAGUAACUAAAUUAAUAAAAUUAUACUUAAAUUUAAAGUUAUAUUUAAUUAUUUCUUUGAUUUUUACAUUUUUUUCUUUUAUUUAUAAAUGAAACUUUAAAUUAUUUUAAUUAACUAAAAUAUGCAGAAAAUUAAUCAUUAAUUAUUUUUUUAUAUACAAGGGUAAAUUUGUACGCUUACAAUUUACACUAUUCAAAAUAAUAUAAAAUACUCUUACAACCAUCACAUUUCUCAUGUAUUUCAAUAAAUUUUCCUCACACAUCCACUCUAAGAUACCCCAAUCCAAACAACCUCAACUUUCUUCACACUUUCUUCUCAAAUCUUCACACUUCCACUCUCUCACACCUUCAACUUUCCACUGCCCCCCACACUCUAAUCCAAAAUAGCAUUAAUGGUGACUAGGGAAUAAGUGGUAACCUCUGAAGACAAAUGUAGUGACCUAUGAUAAAUUUUAUGAACAAUGUGAGCUAAACUGCAUUAGUACACUACUGAUCUGAACCAAAAUGAACCCCUACACUACUGAUCCAAUUUCAUUCAAGCCACUAAAUUUAGUGAGUUAAACUACACCAGUACAUUGCUGGUCUGAGCCACUAAAUUUAGUAUGAGCAAAAUGGCACCCAUACACUAUUGCUUAUGAUUAUAUUUUAAGGUUUUCAUUUUCUUAAUUAUUUAUAAUAUUUUUAAUAUGUCAUUGUAAACUCCAUAUGACUUUCUUACUAUACAGUCCAAAAUGUAAUUUUGGGAUUUAGAAAUACCUUAUGCAUUGUUAUUUCUAAAAUAAGUAUUAUACUAACAGUUUCCGAAAUAAGGGAAAAAAUAGUAUUUCCUACAAAAUAUAUUUUUUAGGGAUAAAUAUGUACAUUCAUGUUACAAAAAAUAUUGAAUGCGGUCACAAAACUUUCAUACAAUACAACCCACCCAUUCCAUGUGGGUUGUUGAAUCAAGUGUAAUCAAAAGCUUUGAAGAAUCCAAAUCCUAGUGUAGGCUGAAGUUGCUGCUGUGUUUAGAGUAGGAUCUAGGUAGUUUAUCUGUGUAAUCCACUCUUUGUUGAAUCUAAAGCUAAAGUGUUUUCAAAUCUUUUAAGUUUAAACUGUUUUUCAAACUAAGGGAAAAACAACCUGUUGUUUUGUCGAAACAACCGAUUGUUUUACUCUUAGGUGUUUUUGAAAAGGUUGAAAACUGUUUUGGUUGGUUGACUUGCUGUCAAACCAAAACAAUCGAUUGUUUCGUGCUUUCAAUCGAUUGUUUGUUUGAAAAUCCGAACAAAAUCUGUUUUGUUAGUUGAGUGUGCUUUAAAUGCUUUUCAAACUAAAUGUGCCCCUGUUUUAAAUGCUUUGACCAAUCUUUGAAAGCUAUAAAUAGUUUGUUUAUGUUUUAUAAAAAACAAGGAAAAAGAAAAACAUAUUUGAGUUUUUCAGAGAUUGCUUUCAAGAUUUGAACUUUCACUAUUCAGCUUUAGUUUUCUUAAGAGAGAGUGGAAUAGGAUUAUAUCUGUAUUGAUUUCAGUUCAUUCUGUAACAAGUGUAAUUCGUUCUGAACACUUUGUAAAUUCUGGUGUUGUAAACCAAGGAGUGUUGUGUGCUCUUGAGGUUGUCAAGAUCAACAUUCAUGGUGUGUGCUGAGCCAAAGGAAGUGUGUUUCUUGAGGGGUUCAAGGUCACUUCUUUGGUAGUUUUGUGUGUAAUCUGUAUUUGAUUGCGUAGUGGAUUGCCCAGUGGAUUUUGGGGACUGGAUGUAUCUCUUGGUUUAAGAGUAAACCAAUAUAAACUAUUUGUGUAUCUCUUUCUUCCCUUAAACUCAUUUAAAUUCAGUUGUUGUUGAUUUGCUAGUAUAAACAACAGAUUGUUUCGAAGAAACAACUGAUUGUUUUUCUGGUGCUUUGCUGUUUUGUGCUUUGUUUCUUGGCUAACUGAAUUCCUAAUCUGGUUUCUUGCAACGAAUUUCAUUCUAGCUGAAAAAGUUUUCGAAAACACCCUUUAAACAAUUCACCCCCCUCUUGUUUAAGGCCAUAUAUUCUAACAAUUGGUAUCAGAGCUUGGUACUUGAAAAAUACUCAAGUUUGAUCCUAAAUUCCUUUUUCAAUGGCUGAAAAACUACCUUUUGGAGAGGGUGCUUCAAUUAACAGACCACCUCUACUAUGUGGUUUGAAUUAUCAAUUCUCGAAAGUUAGAAUGAAAAUCUUGUUGAAUCUCUUGAUAAAGGAAUUUGGGAUGAAAUUGAAAAUGGUCCUUUUAUUCCCAAAUUUGAAAAAUAUGGAUCUUCCAUUGAAAAACCUUGGUCCCAAUGGACUGAUUUUGAAAACAAGAAGGCCAAAUUUGAUUGUAUUGCUAAGAACAUUAUAACAUCUGCCUUGAAUUCAGAUGAAUUUUUCAGGAUUUCUCAAUGCUCAUCGACCAAGGAGAUGUGGGACACUUUGGAGGUGACUCAUGAAGGAACCAAUGAUGUGAAAAGAGCUAGAAAGCAUACUCUAAUUCAGGAAUAUGAAAUGUUUAAAAUGCUUAAGGGCGAGUCAAUUGUUGAAGUACAAAAGAGGUUCACUCACAUCAUCAACCACCUUAUGAGCCUUGGGAAAACCUUUGAUAAAGAGGAACUUAACAUCAAGAUCCUCAAGUGUCUUGAUAGAUCUUGGCAACCUAAGGUGACAACAAUUUGUGAAUCAAAAGAUUUGACAUACGUGACAACGACCUCUUUGUUUGGUAAGCUUAGAGAACAUGAGUUAGAAAUGAAUAGACUCAAUGUUCAAGAAAGUGAAGACAAGCAUGUGAGAAGCAUUGCCUUGAAAUCUGGCAAGCAUAAAAACAAACAAGAUUCAAGUGAUGAAAGUGAAGAAGAGAACCACCUAAGAGUUUCACUUUAGGUCACCAUAUAUUGUUACAGAGGUCACCACAUGGCAAAUAACAGGUACAAACUUUACAUCGUUCAUCACCCAAAAAAUAUUAAAUAACAUCAAUCUUUAAAAAAUAAAUCAAUAAAGAAAAAGUGUAUUCUAUAAAUGUAUGUGUGCAAGAAUGUAGGGGUGGCAAUGCGGGGCGGGCUAUUUGAGCCGGCUCGCGACCCGCCACCAAAAAUUGUGGGGCGGACUCACUAAUCUAGCCUGCUGACCCGCUUUGGCCCGCCCCGCAUAACCUGCAGCCCGCGCGGGCUAACACCGAUGUGGGGCGGGGUGGGUUGGCCAUUGGCCCGUGUAAAUAAAUAAAUAAUUAUUUAAUUUUUCAGUAAAAAAAACAUACCCCAUUCUUCCAUUAUUGUAAUGUGGCCUUUAUUUUAUUUUAUUGUAAAAAAAUUGAAUUUGAUGUACUAAAAAAAGUAAUGUUUAUAUUUAAUCAUCUAAAAGAUUUAGUAUUAAGAGUGACAAUG